AACGACUGGUGGUGGGUGGUGAACGACGUGAACCACUGGCGGAGGAGGGUGGUGGGGAGAGGAUCUAGGCAUCUUCUUUUUGUGUUUUUUGAAACAAAACAUGGAGGGUUCGAAUUUGUGAAUUUUGAUGGUGUUAGAAUAUGGGUGUGAGAGAAAUUGGUAGUUUAUAGUGGAUCCAAGUCAAACAAAAGAUCAAAGAAAACUUGUAAAUGUGUAUGUGGUGGUGUUAGGUACACCUUAGCCAUGAAUGAAUUGAAAAGGAUCUCCAAAUUCAUCUAACCCACACAAAAGUUUUUUAAGUCUUAUCUUUUUAGAUCACAAAAACAUAAAACAGUUUUAGAUAUCGACAUAGAAAAUAUCUAGAAAUUCUCUUUAACCCGAUAUUUGAGUCUUGUAUGUCUACCAUUUCACCAUCAAACUAUCUUCAAACUUUUGUUUUAUGAGUCUGUUUGUACCAAAUAACUAAUUAUCGCUAACCAUGUCUCAUGUCCUAUCCGAUCAUUGAAUCAAUAGUGAUAAGUCGUGUUUGUUGUCUUUUUUUUUUUUCCAAAAAAGUGUGCAUAUAUUUUUUUUUAAAAGAAAUUACGUCUUUCUUUCAAUACAUAUCGAUUGAAGGCAAACGGGCAACAAGCUAUGCCGCUAGCUUUUCUGAAUAAUAAAACCAAUUCUUUUGAAAACUACAUUUGUGGAGGCCGAAAUAAAUAAGGUUGACACGUAAAUAUUGUAAUUUUAAGUAAUUGGUAUGCUAAAAUAUAUAGUAUAAAAGAACUUGUAUAUUAAAACUGUAAUGUGUUUUUAUAUAAACAAUCGAGGUGAAUUCAACAAGUGAACGAGCAUUAAUUGACAUGAUCGAAAUUCAAGUUGUAUGUCGAUGGAUGCGACGUUAGGGAAUUUGCAAAAUAUAUAAAAUUUUAUUAUUUGAGCAUUUAACAACUGAAAGGAAAUAUUUUCUUUAUUAUGAGGAUGUAGAUGGCUAUUUUUCUAUUAAUUUGGUUUGUUUUUUAAUUAAUUUUCAUGAUUUAAUCUGUUUGGCAUCGUUUAUAAAUAAUGUAUAAUUAACUAAAACUGACUCUUAUAUUUACAAACUAGUUUCUACUAUAGUGAAAAUAUAUUAUUUUAUAGGGAGAUCAUCUUGAAGAGAAAGCUUGGUUAAAAUUAGGGAAAAUGACACAUUAGCCCAAUGAUGUUUUGCACAUUUACCCAUUGAGUCCCUUAAUUAUUGUUCGUGCUUUAUGAGGGAGUAAACUUAUUUUUGUCGGAUCAAAUUGGUCCCUUUUGAAGAAAUGAAGGGGUAAGCCGGUAACUUCUUGGCCACCUCAACAAAGAAAUUGACUUUUAACUUCUUCCUUUAAAAAUUUCCUCCUUUGACUUUGAAUCGGGCCAUUUACAGUGAAUGGGAAUCAAUUUGGAAGCUAAUUUUGACUAUUUAGGAAAUCAAUUUUGACUAUUUUAUCUUUGGAUACUUCAUCGGCUCUUCACAGAUGAUGAAAUCAAUGUCGAGCUAGAAGUCUCCCAUCCUUUUACUUACUUUUAUUCAUCGUUUACAUCUGUUUCCUAGUUCUCUGGGUUCUCGAAUGCUUUAACAACACAGGAUCCGUUCAUCGGAUCCAUUUCUUGAUGGUCGUGUUAACAAUGAGAAUUCAUCAUCAGCACUUUCCAAGCUCUUCUUCUGCGACAUCGAAUUCGGCGAAUCGCAAUCAUCGUUCGCCCAAUACGGUGUUAACGCUUUGCCACACAUCCGCCUCCUUCCACCAGAUGCGACCACUUUAAAAACCGACUCGAUCUCCAUGGACACCGGUGAUUUCUCCCAUUUAGCCGAAUCCAUGGGUAAUUUAUCGAAUCGAGAACUAAACUCAAAAUGGGUCAAAUCCACCGUCCUCCAAUUCUCUAAAAAACUCAAAUAGGGUUCUUAAUCGCUGCAUUCCUGAUAUCCUUGCCAUUCCUGUUCAAAAGACUAUUAGGCUGUGAAACACUUCUACAUGAUAAUUAGAGGGUUUGGCUAUCCGGUUCUGUGUUCAUUUACUUCUUUAGCGUUUCGGGAAGUACGCACAACAUAAUUCGCAAAAUGCCGAUGUUCACAUCCGAUAGAACUGAUCCAAGUAAGCUCGUCUUCUUCUACCAGGGAUCUGGAAUGCAGUUGGGUGCUGAGGGUUUUGCUAUCGGGUUUCUUUACACCAUUAUUGGCAUGUUGUUGGCUUUUAUGACCCAUGUUUUGGUUAGGGUGCAGAGUAGGAUUGCACAGAGGAUGACAAUGAUCAUUGCCAUGAUUAUUUCAGUAUGGGCUGUAAGGAAAGUUGUGUAUUUAGAUAAUUUGAAGACUGGUUAUGAUGUUCAUACGUAUUUGGAUAAUCGACUCUUCACAGAUGAUGAAAUCAACGCCGAACUGUUGUUCUAGGGAGGGCUUGAUUUUGAGGGUGUGUCUCCGAUUUUUUAUUUUUUAAUGGAUUUUGAGACAAGAACAAAUGGUGUUUUGACUUUUAAAUGAGGAAAUGAAUACGUGGAACAUCAAACUGGCUAAUAUAGGUUAGAGGGACUAUAAAGACAGGUCACAACAAAGUUUAUUUCCUCAUAAAACACGGAAAAUAUUUAAGGGACUCAAUGGGUAAAUGUGUAAAACAACGUAGGGCUAAUGUGUCAUUUUUCCUUAAAUAUAAGCAUUAAAACCAUAAGCGUGACUGAUUUACUUUUUAUUUUGGCUGGUACUUAAUUUUAAGAUUUAUUAUUAUUAUUAUUAUUAUUAUUAUUAUUAUUAUUAUUAUUAUUAUUAUUAUUAUUUUUUCAUUAUUUUUCAAACUUGAUAAAUUGUUAAAACAAUCACAUUUAUAACUAUUUUUUUUUUUGUUUUUUUUAUUUUAAUAUACUACAUAUUUGACUAUUUUCUUUAGUUUUAUUAUAUUCAACUAUUUUAUGUUGGACUUUUUAGAUAUACUUACUGAAAAGUUUAAAAAUAUGAAAAUAGAGAAAUUACAAGUAGUAAAUGAAAACUAUAGUGAUUGUGAUGAAUCAGAUUUAGAAAAAUUAGAAGAACAAUUUAUGUCUAAUACACAGAUUAACAAAAUACUUCUUACUUUCGGAAAAUCCUUAAAAAAAAUCUUGUUUCCAAUUUUAAUUUUAAUUUUAAUGUCGCAAACUACACCACCUUUUUCUUAUAGUUAUAUACAAUAUAUUGUUACCUAAAUAUCUAAAUAUAUUAUAUAAUAGGUGUAAGACCCAUAUAUUACAUGAAUUAAUUAAAAGAAAUUAAAUAUAAAAGUCUAAAUAUUUAAAAACUUUCGAUUUAUAAGAAAACAAGAAAAAUAUGAAUUAUUAAAAUUGAUUUUUUAUCUUUUAAAUUUAAAUAAAUAAACAAAAUAAACUAAUAGACUUUCAUUUGGAAAUUUUGAAGUUAGAAGGUAAUUCCAUUAAUAAAAUUAAUAUCAAUUUAUUACUACGUUUAUUGUAAUUAUUAUAUUAAAGUAUUAUGUGGAAUUUAUUAAAAUAUAAAAACCUAUAAAAUGACAUGUGGAAAAGAAAAUUUAAUUCAAAAUAACCACAAUAUGACAUUUGGUAAUUUGAAAGAGAUUGUAACAUGUGGCAAAAAAAACAUUCAUUUAUUAGAAUAAUUUUUUAUCUUUUAAAUUUAAAUAAAUAAACAAAAUAAACUAAUAAGCUUUAAUUUAGAAAUUUUGAAAAAAGAAGGUAAGUCCAUUAAUAAAUUUGAUAUUUAUUUAUUUGUAACGACCCAAAAAUCAGGGGUAAAAAUUUCAUUUUGUUUAUAGUUAAAACACAGAUAUCAUUCGAAUUCAAGCAUUCCAAAAACAUUGCUAAUUAAAACAUUUAUCAGAGUUCAUCCCAAAAUCACAUAUUGCAGAAACACGGGUGUAUGCGUUACGAUCAUGCUGGGCCCACCCUUUCCAAACUAAUGAUACCUGAAACCAUAAACAAAACUGUAAGCACGAAGCUUAGUGAGCUCCCCAGAACAUACCCUGCACAAUUCGCAUAAUCACAUAAAUCAUAUUAGUUAUAUCAGCUACAUAAACCACAUAAGUCAUGCAUACAAACAUAUAAGGAUGUCGUGGACUCCCUCUAGGGUCUUAUACCUAUAUUCCAUGGGCUCCCCCUGGUCCUUACCUGGAAUGCCAUGGGCUACCCCUAUGGUCUAAUAUCCAAUUGUCAUGGGCUCCCCCCCGGGGGGGGGGGGUGUUGGGGUCUUCCAUGCAAGUAUCACAAAGAUAACUAACAUAUCACACAUCACAUAAACAACUAGUAUACCACAAAUCACAGAAACAAUGCAUAUAAGCAUAUAAGGAUGUCGUGGCCUCCUCCCAGGGUCUUAUACCUACAUCCCAUGGGCUCCCCCAUUGUCUUUACUACUUGUCAUGGGCUCCCCCACAUAGUCUUAUAUCCAACUUCCAUAGACUCCCCCCGGGGUCUUCCAUGCAAAAAAUAUAAGUUUAACUAGCAUAUUAUAUAUCACAGAAAUAUCUAUCAUACUAUAUAACUCAUACAUAACAUAUAUGGAUGUCGUGGACUCCCUCCAGGGUAUUGCUCCUAUGUGCUAUUGGCUCCCCCACAUGGUCUUAACUACUUGUUAUGGGCUCCCCACAUGCUCUUUACCUAGGAGUGCCAUGGUCUCCCCCACAUGGCCUUAUGUUCAACUGCUACGAGCUCCCCCCGAGGUCUCCACAUAUCUAGUCAAUAAGUACUAGCAUAUUCUCAUAUACAUGCAUACCAGAUAUAUCAGUGGUGAAUCCAUAAUAAACACUACAACUAACUAAAUGGGCCGGCCAUGGUACCUUCGACCCAUGGGUAUGGUGAGGAGACUAACCUCGAAUGCAAACGCUUCCCAAAUGAAAUCCUUAGCUGCUACCCUGUCCACUUCUCGGAGUUACCAAUAUCAGUUGACACUCAAUUAGCAAUUAAGUUCUAAUACAUACAUAUUCUUGGGCUUUGAGCAUUCUAACACUCCUAAGGUGUAUAUGCAACCCUAAAUACCUUGAAUCUAUGUUUUCUCUAUUAUACAUGCAAAGUUGAACUUUUCAAGGUAUUACCCUAACUAGCAUACAAAACUAUGAUACUUAGGUAAUAAAACAUGUUAGAUAACAUACCUUUUCUUUGUGGCUUGUUUCUUGGACUUUCAAGAGCUUAGCACCAAUAGUAUGAAUGCCUCAAAUGGAAAUACAACACACCUAGAACAAAGGAUAACUUGAGAAGAGAUUCCUUGCACACACAAAUCGGCUAGCCCUCUAGUAUUCCACUUAAGUCACUCCUUAGUACCACUUAAGUGCCAAUUUCAUGAGCCAGAGGGGUUCUUAUAUAGUGUGGCAAACUAUGGUUACACCAUGUAAACCCUAAUAACUUUCCAUAUCCCUCAUGCUCCAUGGGUUAAAACCUCCAUGGAGUAUCCAUGGGUUACCACAUGGCUUUAGCCCAACAUGAAGAACUAUGGAUCAUAAGCCCACUUUAUAAGAAUGAAUGAUUUACCAAAUCAACCCCUUAUAUUUAAUUGGUCUCUAUUGAUCACAAAAUUAAUUCCAAAUUAAUUCUUGAUCAAUACUAAUUAAAUAAUAUGAUUUCAUAUUAAUAUAUUAGAACUUAUAAUAUAUUAAUAAACCAUAAAUAACCUCUUCUCAAUUAUCCAUCCUUCAGAUUAUUCCGGUGCCAUGCAACCUAAAUGGACCAUGCUACUCUCGGGUCAAGUACAUACCAAUAAUAGUUAUGGGCUCAGACAUCUAAUCCAACAGCCUCCCAUUUGGAUAAGUCUAAUAACUAUUAUUGCAAGCAUGACUCCAACCCGACUAGCAAUCGUAGCUCUUAAAAACCGUUGUCGAACUCUGACCUAGUCAAUAACACGUCCGUUAGAUAAGGGAUAAUAUAUUCCUCCAUUCUAGAUAUCAUGUGGACUAAGACAUGGAUUAUAAUCAUUCUCUCUGUCCAUCUGUUGUUUCCUGAUUUCUGAUUUAUGACGACUGACUAAUUAAACAAAUCAAAUCAGUCCAGACCUGGUGUCAUCACUAAAUCAUCAAGGGGCCCACAUAUAUCGCUUUUAUCCACAUGGGGUAAAAGGAACGGAUAAACUUCGACCCAAAUGCUUGCUUGUACUUACUCAUCAAAUUACACACAACGAUAUGUUUUAUAACAUUCAUGUUACUGGUGCGUUUACAUAUGUCAAUGUGCAACCGCCUUGCAACUACAACUCACAUGUCUCUGUUUCAAUAAUAUAAGAUAUUAUCGUCUCACAAUCACUCGUGAUAAAAUACAUGAAGUGAUUCAGAUGAGCGUGGGUUGAAUCCAAUACUCAAAUCUUAUUCCAGGAGCACUCAUGAACACUGUAGUCACUUUGUCCUAGAAAAACUACAGACCCAUUCAUGUCAGUCUUGCCUCAAUACCUACAUCCAAAGUAUGAUCAACUGUGGAUGGUUUGAAUAAUCUAGUUAUUUGGGAAGUCAAAACAUGCAAAGUGAAACACAAUAAUAAUACUAAUCCUAUAUGGCCCCAAACAUUUUGAGCCAUAUUGAUUACUCAUCAUUCAUUGUAAUAAAUGAUUUAUUAAUAUAUUAUGAGAAUAAUAUAUUAAUUAGAAAUCAUAUUAUAAUUAGUAUUUUAUCAGAAAUUAAUUUGCAAUUAAUUUUAGGAUCAACGGAAGUGAUAAAAAGAAUGGGGAUUGUUUUGCAAAUCAUUGAUAGUUGAAAAACUGGGCUGCUGGACUCCAUUGGAAUGGGGUGGAUGAAAUUCUAUAGGGAGGGCCUAUAGAAUUCGUUCAAGGCUUCUAGAAGUGGAGUCCCAUGGACUUAUUAGGGCCUAAGCAAGAGAUUAGGGUUUCCACCUGAAAACCCUAGCAGCCUCAGCUAUAUAAUGACCCCUUCACAUGUGAUUAUCGGCCAACUGCUUCCUUAAAGAACCCUAGCCAAAGUUCUUAGUGUUUCCUCCUUUCUCCUUCUCAUCCUCUUGCUACAAGUGUUUGUGAGCCAUUAGAGGUGCAAAAUUUGGGGCACUAAAGCUUUCAAUGGUCAAGAUCAAUCUAGGAAUUCUUAUUAUUGCAAUAUAACAAGCAUGAUAAUGUUCUUAACCCUUUUCAUAUGUUAAUUUUUAAUUGUAUAUGCUAGAUCUAGGGUUGUUUCUUUGGAAUUUCUUUUGCAUGUUCAAUUAGUGAAAAAUUUAAAUCCAAGGCAAUUAGGGUUGCAUGAACACAUAGGAUGUUAUUAUGCUCAAAACCUAUCAAUGUACUCACCAGGUUUCGCAACCUGACCCAAUCAGUUUAUUGUAUCAGAUACAGUCUGCUAAGAGAUUCAAGGAGUUUUAACCCGCUAGUUUAAUUACUAUAAGAUUUGUAAGAUUUCGUUAUGCUUACGUUUAUGUAUAGACGAUGACAUCUAAAUGUUUUAAUAUAAAUGAAAUACAUUUCUUCGAAAAUGAUUUGAUAAUACCAUUAACAUUUUUUCUGGGAACAAAUUCCGCAAUAUUAUUCUUCAAAAAAGGAAAAUCUAAUUUUUAAAUAAGUAUAAACAAAUCGGCCUUUUAUUGUCGUGAAAUUUGGGAUGUCACAGUUGGUAUCAGAGAAUUAGUUUAAGAGAAAUAGGAAUUUGUAGGAUUUCUAGACUUAAAUUUGAUGAUUGUAAGACGAUUGUCUGUUAUACUUAGGAAAUAUAUAAACACGAGCACUAGCUUAUUUUAGGAAAUAUAUUUAUUUUCCUAUUGUUUCUGUAAGACCUUCAUAAAUAUUGACUUAACAAUGGAUAGAUUCCUCAUAUUUUUCCCCACUAGGAAAGUGUAAUUGUUGCCCAGGUGAAUCAAUAUAUUGAGAUUAAGAGUCACGAGGAAGGAUUGCACAAAUUGGUAUUUUUGUAGCAAAACUAAUGAAACCAAAGAUGUAAUGAAGUGUAAACCUAAUGAAAUCGAUAAAAUCAAGGAAAGUUUUUGUGACAACCCAAGUUGUCCCGUUACAUUUCCCCGUUACCGUUAACGGAAUAUUCCACUGUAUAAAAGUUCUGUUAAUUAGAGGGCAUCAAUUUAAUAAACAUUCCAUUUGGUUACCUUUAACAUGCCGUUAAGUCGUGAUAAAAGGGAAUAAAAACUCAAGACACACAUUUCCAUUUAUUGAGGAAAUGUCAAGUUUUAUUAUUACGACCACUAAAUCGGGUGCGACCAAAAGCCCCGUUUAACGGCAGUAUCGGGUAAAAUUCCACUGAGCCCCGACUGUGAAACCUAUAUAAGGGUGAGUGGAGUCAAAUGGGAGACUUUUUACACUCUCUCUCUAUACUCUCUCUCUAGACCCGUUUUUGCCCCGAAUUCGCAACCAAACGCUUCCAAAUUGUAAGUCCGCUUACCCUAACUUAUUCUAAGCGUAUUGAUUUAUGUUUAUAGCCCAAAAAUCAUCCAAGAAGGCAUAAGAUAAGGAGUUUACGGCCCAGGAACAUUCUAGGGCCGUAAACCCCUAAAAAGGUGUUAAAAAUGCCUUUAAACUUGACCAUGAGCUUAGAAACUAUUAGGGGAUAUAGCCUAGGGGUGUUUAAACACUAAAAUGCAUGGAUUUAGGACUCAAAGAAGAGUUUACGGCCCAAGCACAUGCUUAGGCCGUAAACUCCACAAGUUAGGGUCCCAAAUGUGCACCAAACUCAUCCUAGGGCUUAUUACAUAUUUUAGGGACUUAUUCCUUUGAGUUUAGGACACUAGAACACUCCAAAAUGAAUUAAAGAAAGGAGUUUACGGCCCAUGAAUAGUCAAGGCCGUAAACUCCCUAAAAUCAUGCCCAAAAGUGUGAUUUUGCCCCCCUAAUGGCCUUAGACAUUUACCAUAAAAUGCUAGAAUGGAAAUAAAGGCUUAAACACAAGAAAAAUGAGACAUUUCUUGGAGUUUACGGCCCAAGCAUUUUCUAGGCCGUAAACUCCCCUAAAACCCCCUCAAAUGUUGGUUUUAAUCCUCCAAAAUAGCAUCACACUUCAUUAGAAAUCACUAGAAAGGCAUUAGAGGCUUGAAACUUCACUAAACUCAAAGAUUGAGAGUUUACGGCCGUAAACUCCCUUGGGAGAGUUCUUAGGCCGUAAACUCCUAUAAAAUACCUUUAGAAGCCUCAAAUCCAAUCAUGCCUUUGAUGAAAAGUGCUUAGAAUAAAUCAAGGAACAAGCUAGAAGCAUCAAAACCCCAAGAAUAUGACCUUGGGAGUUUACGGCCGUAAACUCCCUUAGGUUGGGCCGUAAACUCCUUGUUUGGUCCAUAUUGAUGCUUUAAACCCCUUUACACCCUUGAUACUUGAGCAUAGCAAAGUCCCACAGCUGAUAGGAGACCCUUAGCACCCUUAAACGCUACCCGGGACCCCAAACACUCAACCAAAAGUGUUUUCCACUCCUUUGAGUGUGUAUAAUUGUUUUAUUAGUAUAUUAUAUGCUAAUUGUAUGUGAACAUAUGUUAUCAUAUGUUAAAAUAGGUCCUUGUGUGUGUUCAAGUCCUUGCGUGACCCCGAACGCCUAAACGGCACUACCGUCGGACCUACUUAUACCAGGUGAGUUCAUACCCCUGAAUGAACCUUUUUAAUGCUUUUAAAUGUUUUCAUAGGGGGGGAUUACAAGUUAAACAUGCCAGUUAUCAUAUCAAUCACAUGUGAUUGAUAACCCGCAUGCACAAGAUUUUACCACUGUACACUGUUUUACCGAGUAGGACACUAUAAAUGGCUUUCAAAAAGGGUUUUUAAAUUGUUCAAGUUCUUACUUUCAUAGCUUAUCAAAGACUCAUUUCAACUGAUUUAUAAAAGAUUCUCAAAGAUUUCUAAAGAUUUUCACACCUAUUUUAUCAAAGAAUACAAAUGCGAUUUUUCCUGAGUAACAAAAUCUUUAAGGGUUUUCAUGAAUACUUAUAAUUGUUAGAUACCACUGCUUCGCUUAUACUUAUUUUAUGCUCCUACUCUGUAAUGUUUUUGCUUGUACCUGAAGUCACUUAUACCUGAUAACUCUUAUACUUAUUUACCCUCUUACUUAGUGAUACGAUUCUACUUCGCUUGUAUUUGAGAUCGACUUUACUUCACUUAUACUUGAUACGCUCUUACUUCACUUGUGGUCAUAUCUACUUCGCGAUGCGCCUAUACUUAUUCGACACUUAUACUUCACUUGCGACCGCUCUUGCUUCACUUAUUAGACACUCCUACUUCACGAGAAUCACUUUCACUUGAUACCCACUUAGUCAUAGUUAGAUGUAUGUCCGUACUUAUAUAGGUAUAUAUAAGUAAUGACUGAAAGACUUAGGAAGGCUCAUCGGCCCUAUUUCCUUUUCUUCGUUGAGAUGUGGUCUGGUGGGAUCGGGUAGCCGUCCGAAGGUCGUUUGGUCCAUUAGUUAAAUACUAUGUAUAUGAGUAUGGACAUAUAGGGAAUUCUCUAGUCAAGUCAAUUAAGAGUCUCUUCUUCUAUUCUACACUCACUUUAGAAACACACUACCCACUGCUUGGAAGUCUCUACCGCUAGAAUAUCACUUGUGUUAGAAACCCACUCCUCUCAAGAAACACACUAUUCUCUAUUUGGGAUGCAUCUUCGGGACGCGGCCUUCUCCGUCGUCUAGUUGGUAACCAGAGUCUCCUGUAGGGAGAGCGGACAUUGUGUGUAUAGGCCUAUACGGGAUUGACAACCCCGCACCCUGACUGCUAGCUACAGUCCACGGCCCACCAAGCCAAGGGGUGACAAAUGUCAUAUUAUAUAGAUGCUUGUAGGGCGUCUGGAACUCUAGUCAGUAUGGUUACGAGUAUCCUGGGUUGCCUUAUAAUUCAUGGCUUUAAGGUAACGGUAUUUUCGUCAGCAAUUUACACUGUAUGCUGAUGUCACUUUUCAGAGUCACUCUGUUUCGACCUUGCUAGCUGUAUCUUUCAUUUGAUACUGUCUGGGGUCUAUAGUCUCUGUUUCGACCUUGCUAGCUGUAUCUUUCAUUUGAUACUGUCUGGGGUCUAUAGUCUCUGUUUCGACCUUGCUAGCUGUAUCUUUCAUUUGAUACUGUCUGGGGUCUAUAGUCUCUGUUUCGACCUUGCUAGCUGUAUCUUUCAUUUGAUACUGUCUGGGGUCUAUAAUCUCUGUUUCGACCUUGCUAGCUGUAUCUUUCAUUUGAUACUGUCUGGGGUCUAUAGUCUCUGUUUCGACCUUGCUAGCUGUAUCUUUCAAUUGAUACUGUCUGGGGUCCGUAGUCUUUGUUCUGACCUUGUGAGAGAUACCUUUCAUUUGGUAUCGUCUUCGGUCUAUAUUUACUGUUUUAGACCUUACCAGCUGUACCUUUCGUUUGGUACCUUCUGGGGUCUAUGUCUCCCCUUUGUUAGACUGAACCAGGCGUGUCGUCAGUUCGAUACCCUCCUGGAGUCUAUGAUUCUUUGCCUUAGUCAGCAGUCCUCACUGCUGAGGCAUAUGUUAUUCCCUGAUGUCUCCUGCUUUCUUAAAUAAUCAAAUUCAGUAUUUUGAUAACAAUGUCAAUUAAGGGAAAACUACCUCUUACCACAAUGCACUGAAACAGUCUUGGUAGAAGGCUGCUUUAUUUAAAGAAAAUAUAGGAUUUUCUGGAAAGGACACUGAAGCACUGAAAGCACUUAAACUACUACUUAUUAAAGUUAUUUGACUAAAUGACACUAAAUACUUAUGAACUCACCAGCAUUUGUAAAAAUGCUGAUACUCGCUUUUCAAAUAACUUGUAAUCUCAGGUCAGCAAUUAGACAGGUACAUCCCCGGAGCUGCUGAUGAAGAUGGCCUAAGUACCUUGCUGCACUUUAUAUAUGUUGCUUGUAUUACUUUGAUACUAUGUAAUGUAACCAUGUAAAAUUAUUACUAUUAAUGCAAUGUUUUGUUGUACUUUGAUUACUAUAUGCAUGUGUUGUGAUACUUGACAUGACGUCAUCCACCCCAGAACGUUUCCGCCGUUCCGGUUUUGGGGUGUGACAGAUUGGUAUCAGAGCAUUGUUUAUAGUGAGCUAAGUAUAUCAAUUCAUAAAAGAUAUACAGCCUAUAAAUGCAAUGGGAUAAAACACUCUGACCAAGAAUUAUACUUUAAAAUAUAACCAUAUUUUACCAAAGUAUAAUAACAUCCAGAAUCUAAGCACUCGAACAAAAGUAUCACAAGAAGAACAAUAAUAAAAGUCUUCGGAUGUUGAGCACUACAGUCAAACCUGGGCAGUUAUGUAAUCGUAAGCUGGGAUAAAUGUAACCUGAUCAACUACAUUUAUCCGAGAUGCGAUGAACGUGUGCUCGGGAGUGAUAGUGGUGUGCAGCAGAUCUGAAACUUACCAAAUAGGAAUUCUAGAGCCAAACAUAAAGUUAAAAUACUAUAGGAGUAUUUUAGAACGCUAAAAGAUCCACACUAAUCCCAGAAUCAUAAUCAGAAGAUAAGACUCAAUCAAGAAUUAAAAUACCAUGGGGGUAUUUUAGAAUCUAUAAACAACCUUGCGUGAAUAAUUAAAAAGACCCUUAUCGAUAUACCUACAACUACAGAGGGUGUACUUCCAAGAUCUUAUAUAAUAAAGACCCCAUAGGCUAAGAAGGUGUGGUUUCGCUCUGUUUCCUUUUCCUCGUUGGGAUGUGGUCCUAGAGUAGUAUCACAUAUUCGAAGGCCUAUCGGAUCUAAGCUAUAUAGGAUUUGUAUACCCUGUGUAAUCGUAGCAGGACUCGAUAUGGAUCAUACAGUGAAAUGUUAAUAAUCCCUUAGGAUUCUUUAGACAUUUCCAUUCUCGCGCGAACCCUGUAGAAAAACCCUAUCCACUUCAGUGCUUGACAGAAGAGUUGAUUUCGACCCCGAGGAGAUUCAUUGAGAAGAUUUCCUGUUCGGAAGUGAAUGAACCGGGUCGGGACUAUUGAAUACACCAAGUGCCCAUAUUCUCUUAGGGACAGUGGUGAGAGAUUCGCCUAAACUUCGGAGAUUCCUAGUCAUCCAUCAUGAAGUGAUGACACCCAUAGUUGGAAUCAGAAGGAAGGCGGAGUAGAAAUUCGAUAUGUCCAUACAAGAAGAGAACCCUAGGAAACUACCCGAAGGAAGCCAACGCCGAUUCCAGCCAAAGAUACGAGGCAGACCGAGGGAGCUAGUACAUAGAACCCGGGAAUUGUCUUUUCCUCGUAUUCGCCACGAUAAUUCACCCUUAAAAAUGAUGCAGUUUAGUGAGUUAGUGGUUACACUACUCACGCUAUGUGUUAGGUAAAUCGUCGUUUCCCGUUGCCAGAUACGCGAUUAGGGCGGAUCCCCACAUCUCUAUUGAGAAAAUUUUAGCCAUCUGCCCUUGUGAGUUUCCCUUUCCACGAUUUCGUUCCGAACCGUUCUCAAUUCUCUCCAGGCCGGAGAGUGAAACCUUUCCAUGUAUAAAAGUAACUUAGUAGGAACGACUCGCAUCUUAUGGCCUUUUUCCGAUACUCAUACUCUUACCUUGAUUUCCAGGACUACAUCAUAGGGAUGUAGGUCAACGUUCAAACAACUAGUACCCGAGGCACGGGAAAAAUUUAUGCCUAAUGCGUUCAGGACAGAAAUGUCCAGGGUUAACCAUCAUCUCUCAUUACCUUGUAUUCCUCUCCGUGUAGGAAAAACCAUGCCACCGAAGAAGCGUAACCAAUCCGCAAGCAAGAAACCUGCCCUCUUAUUCGAUGAAGCUACGUUCCAAGCUGCAGUCUCAGCAGCCGUAGCAGCUGUCAUGGCUCACCUGAAUGCUAACAACGCCAAUGUUAGCAAGGGCCCUGUCGGGAUUUCCAAUCCUGGCAAUGGACGGCAGCAACCCACUCUUCCACACUCAGCCACCCAAGAACCUCCACUGAACCCACUAAAGAGAAAACUCAAGAUAGAGGAGGGAAGUACCUCGGCUCCAGGACCUUCCGAAGGGCAACGAGCUGAGGCAGUCGAUACCCCUGUAAAUCCUUCCCUCCCGACCUCAAGAAGACCAUACCUAGGAGACCUUCCCCACUGCAGCAAGUGCAGCUACCAUCAUCAUGGUACCUGCCGGGAACUCUAUUGUGCUAGGUGCCACAUGCUGGGGCAUACUGCUCGUGUCUGCAGAACCCCGGUUGAGUUCAUUACACCAACCACCAAUGUGGCGACCCGUAUGGUUUGCCACCUAUGUGGUAGAAUGGGACACUCUAAGAGGGACUGCCCAACUGAAGAGAAAGACAAAGACACAGAAGGAGCCUGACACUACUGCUUAGGAAGAAGCAGCAAAGAAACUCGUUGGAUUUUUGGUACGUCUCUCGAUCCCGGAUAACUAAGCUAAGAAAACAAUAAAAGACUAAUUCAAGUAUAAAUUCUUUCUAGUAAGGUGAAAGUCGCAGCACUGUUAUAAAAUUUAAAAAUUCAUUAGGUAAAACUACAAUGGCUAAACAUAUACGUUACGGCCAUGUAUAUUUAGGAUGGAUAGACCUAGAGUGAGCGAAUGCCGCCUCAUUUCCUGUUCCUCGUUUGGUUGUGGAUUUAGGGCGGGGUCGCUCAGUCAACAGUCCUCCCCACCUUAAAUAUACAUGACUAGUAUAUGUGAGGCGAUUAUAGAAAUGCCUCGUGAGAAUCCAUUCAAGAAAAGAUACUCUAUUCGGAAACACUUAGAACUCUCUAUAGUUCCGCGUCGACUCUAUCGGUCCAAGUAUCCGCGGUAGCGAUAUAUGGGACGAAACCCGAGACGCCUAGAACUUGUGUGCCUGUUCGGCACAUGACUCUAUCGAUCUUCACUUUAUAUCAUGUCGAAGUGAGCCAACUUCGACGACUCUAUUGAGCACGGUUUGACUUCGUGCAACCAUGUGUACAUUCUUAGUGCUGUGAGCUUUCUCCAUGGCCAUAUCGGCAAAUAAAGGUUCCUCCGAACCCGAACCUAACACAAAUAAUCACAUCUAAUGCAAUUCGUCAACCGUCCCUCUUAUCUCAAACCUUCCGAAGUACUCAAGUGAGGGUACCCCACGCCGUCGAUCGACCCCUCGUAGUCAAAUGAACACCAAAGUGAAAGGCACUGCAAAUACCUCAGAAAACGACAACCAUCCGAGGCAUACUCCGUUGAGUUCCCUGGGUGACCCUCCUCACCUCACACAUAAGGUUCGUGAACCCAGAGAAUAGAACUCAUGAGGCUGGCCACUAUGACCAGGUGUACUGCUGGCAUCCAUCAAGUAUGGGCAGUUAAGCCACGCAUGAGUUCUACCAUGAACCUCUUCGCAAAACACUUUCACCCCAUUCGAUGACAUAGGAGCAGAAAAUCAAGAGAACUACUGCGGAUUGAGCUAGUAGAGUUCCGAGUGAAGAGACCCUAUGCCCACUAGAUUUGCCUUAGACCGAGAAAACUCAGAACCUUUGGGAGAAUAGUUGCGGUAGGUGCUCGCACUACUCCUGCACCUUGCCCACCCAGUUAUAGGCAGGUAGUGCUUAUCAUCCUCCACCCUCUCACAAGGAGGAAAAUCGUCGUCGCCUCGUAGAUGAUGAAUCAUAUUUCCCGAGGUAAACACUAGAAUACCGAGAACCACAGGGUAACCUUCGCAGCCAAGAAUACUUGGUCAAGUGCGAAAGUAGUUGCGUUAAAUCUCAUGACACGGAUCCCGAAAAGAUUAUAGACUCGACACCAGCCUUGGUGUUAGUCGAGGGAUUACGUCGGAGCACGCACUUUCCACGCUAGAAUAAACCACAGUCUUAGAGAUUCCUUGGACUAAUAGGUGUUCUCCGAAUACUAUCUCAAGCAGAGAUAGUAGAACUACCUCGCGAGAUAGUCCAACACUCGUCUGGUGAAACCCUAUCUCCCCGAUUCUCAGGGUUUCCGUAUCUCAAGCGUCGUUAGUGCAGGUCCAUUUUGCACAAGCUGGAGAUAGACACUCUAUAGCAAACCGAUGACCAUAGUCGCGCAACCCACUUGACGAUCUAGGAAGCCUCUAUCAUCCAGUGGAAAGAAAGCAUGAAACUGAAGACCACUUGAGAUUCCUAAGAACCAACCCGAAGGACUACACUACCAGUACGAGAGAGAACGUUAGGAACUUCGGAAUGGCGAUCACGCCAGUGAUGAUCUUGCCAUAGAAGUACACUAUGUUCUAAGUACUGAAAGGCUCUACCCUUCCUAGAGCGUAGGACCAUCCGGGAAUCCUCAUGGAAAUUUGGUCCAAUCCUUUUCAGACCACUACUACUUUCGGAUAUACCACAAGAUUCACAUUCGACCGAUCCACUUCUUAGACUUGAUAUGCGAUUAUCCGACAACACUCUUCGUGCCUCACUCAUCUUGAUAGAAUCCAUCGAGAACCCUGACUUCAUAGAUACACCAGUCGGAACCCGCUAGCUACACUAGACGGAAUGCGCAUCCCGUAUGUGAAGAUCUGUGGGAAGGACAAACACAGACUAGAGAUCACUUGGGAAUGCGAGGGCAACCGUAUAGGAAGUACUCCCUCAUCUCUACUUGGCCAUUCAUGCCUACUUCCUUGUCUAGACUUGAAUUUCGGGACGAAAUUCCCUCUAACGGGGGGAUGUUGUGACAACCCAAGUUGUCCCGUUACAUUUCCCCGUUACCGUUAACGGAAUAUUCCACUGUAUAAAAGUUCCGUUAAUUAGAGGGCAUCAAUUUAAUAAACAUUCCAUUUGGUUACCUUUAACAUGCCGUUAAGUCGUGAUAAAAGGGAAUAAAAACUCAAGACACACAUUUCCAUUUAUUGAGGAAAUGUCAAGUUUUAUUAUUACGACCACUAAAUCGGGUGCGACCAAAAGCCCCGUUUAACGGCAGUAUCGGGUAAAAUUCCACUGAGCCCCGACUGUGAAACCUAUAUAAGGGUGAGUGGAGUCAAAUGGGAGACUUUUUACACUCUCUCUCUAUACUCUCUCUCUAGACCCGUUUUCGCCCCGAAUUCGCAACCAAACGCUUCCAAAUUGUAAGUCCGCUUACCCUAACUUAUUCUAAGCGUAUUGAUUUAUGUUUAUAGCCCAAAAAUCAUCCAAGAAGGCAUAAGAUAAGGAGUUUACGGCCCAGGAACAUUCUAGGGCCGUAAACCCCUAAAAAGGUGUUAAAAAUGCCUUUAAACUUGACCAUGAGCUUAGAAACUAUUAGGGGAUAUAGCCUAGGGGUGUUUAAACACUAAAAUGCAUGGAUUUAGGACUCAAAGAAGAGUUUACGGCCCAAGCACAUGCUUAGGCCGUAAACUCCACAAGUUAGGGUCCCAAAUGUGCACCAAACUCAUCCUAGGGCUUAUUACAUAUUUUAGGGACUUAUUCCUUUGAGUUUAGGACACUAGAACACUCCAAAAUGAAUUAAAGAAAGGAGUUUACGGCCCAUGAAUAGUCAAGGCCGUAAACUCCCUAAAAUCAUGCCCAAAAGUGUGAUUUUGCCCCCCUAAUGGCCUUAGACAUUUACCAUAAAAUGCUAGAAUGGAAUUAAAGGCUUAAACACAAGAAAAAUGAGACAUUUCUUGGAGUUUACGGCCCAAGCAUUUUCUAGGCCGUAAACUCCCCUAAAACCCCCUCAAAUGUUGGUUUUAAUCCUCCAAAAUAGCAUCACACUUCAUUAGAAAUCACUAGAAAGGCAUUAGAGGCUUGAAACUUCACUAAACUCAAAGAUUGAGAGUUUACGGCCGUAAACUCCCUUGGGAGAGUUCUUAGGCCGUAAACUCCUAUAAAAUACCUUUAGAAGCCUCAAAUCCAAUCAUGCCUUUGAUGAAAAGUGCUUAGAAUAAAUCAAGGAACAAGCUAGAAGCAUCAAAACCCCAAGAACAUGACCUUGGGAGUUUACGGCCGUAAACUCCCUUAGGUUGGGCCGUAAACUCCUUGUUUGGUCCAUAUUGAUGCUUUAAACCCCUUUACACCCUUGAUACUUGAGCAUAGCAAAGUCCCACAGCUGAUAGGAGACCCUUAGCACCCUUAAACGCUACCCGGGACCCCAAACACUCAACCAAAAGUGUUUUCCACUCCUUUGAGUGUGUAUAAUUGUUUAAUUAGUAUAUUAUAUGCUAAUUGUAUGUGAACAUAUGUUAUCAUAUGUUAAAAUAGGUCCUUGUGUGUGUUCAAGUCCUUGCGUGACCCCGAACGCCUAAACGGCACUACCGUCGGACCUACUUAUACCAGGUGAGUUCAUACCCCUGAAUGAACCUUUUUAAUGCUUUUAAAUGUUUUCAUAGGGGGGGAUUACAAGUUAAACAUGCCAGUUAUCAUAUCAAUCACAUGUGAUUGAUAACCCGCAUGCACAAGAUUUUACCACUGUACACUGUUUUACCGAGUAGGACACUAUAAAUGGCUUUCAAAAAGGGUUUUUAAAUUGUUCAAGUUCUUACUUUCAUAGCUUAUCAAAGACUCAUUUCAACUGAUUUAUAAAAGAUUCUCAAAGAUUUCUAAAGAUUUUCACACCUAUUUUAUCAAAGAAUACAAAUGCGAUUUUCCUGAGUAACAAAAUCUUUAAGGGUUUUUCAUGAAUACUUUUAAUUGUUAGAUACCACUGCUUCGCUUAUACUUAUUUUAUGCUCCUACUCUGUAAUGUUUUUGCUUAUACCUGAAGUCACUUAUACCUGAUAACGCUUAUACUUAUUUACCCUCUUACUUAGUGAUACGAUUCUACUUCGCUUGUAUUUGAGAUCGACUUUACUUCACUUAUACUUGAUACGCUCUUACUUCACUUGUGGUCAUAUCUACUUCGCGAUGCGCCUAUACUUAUUCGACACUUAUACUUCACUUGCGACCGCUCUUACUUCACUUAUUAGACACUCCUACUUCACGAGAAUCACUUUCACUUGAUACCCACUUAGUCAUAGUUAGAUGUAUGUCCGUACUUAUAUAGGUAUAUAUAAGUAAUGACUGAAAGACUUAGGAAGGCUCAUCGGCCCUAUUUCCUUUUCUUCGUUGAGAUGUGGUCUGGUGGGAUCGGGUAGCCGUCCGAAGGUCGUUUGGUCCAUUAGUUAAAUACUAUGUAUAUGAGUAUGGACAUAUAGGGAAUUCUCUAGUCAAGUCAAUUAAGAGUCUCUUCUUCUAUUCUACACUCACUUUAGAAACACACUACCCACUGCUUGGAAGUCUCUACCGCUAGAAUAUCACUUGUGUUAGAAACCCACUCCUCUCAAGAAACACACUAUUCUCUAUUUGGGAUGCAUCUUCGGGACGCGGCCUUCUCCGUCGUCUAGUUGGUAACCAGAGUCUCCUGUAGGGAGAGCGGACAUUGUGUGUAUAGGCCUAUACGGGAUUGACAACCCCGCACCCUGACUGCUAGCUACAGUCCACGGCCCACCAAGCCAAGGGGUGACAAAUGUCAUAUUAUAUAGAUGCUUGUAGGGCGUCUGGAACUCUAGUCAGUAUGGUUACGAGUAUCCUGGGUUGCCUUAUAAUUCAUGGCUUUAAGGUAACGGUAUUUUCGUCAGCAAUUUACACUGUAUGCUGAUGUCACUUUUCAGAGUCACUCUGUUUCGACCUUGCUAGCUGUAUCUUUCAUUUGAUACUGUCUGGGGUCUAUAAUCUCUGUUUCGACCUUGCUAGCUGUAUCUUUCAUUUGAUACUGUCUGGGGUCUAUAAUCUCUGUUUCGACCUUGCUAGCUGUAUCUUUCAUUUGAUACUGUCUGGGGUCUAUAAUCUCUGUUUCGACCUUGCUAGCUGUAUCUUUCAUUUGAUACUGUCUGGGGUCUAUAAUCUCUGUUUCGACCUUGCUAGCUGUAUCUUUCAUUUGAUACUGUCUGGGGUCUAUAGUCUCUGUUUCGACCUUGCUAGCUGUAUCUUUCAAUUGAUACUGUCUGGGGUCCGUAGUCUUUGUUCUGACCUUGUGAGAGAUACCUUUCAUUUGGUAUCGUCUUCGGUCUAUAUUUACUGUUUUAGACCUUACCAGUUGUACCUUUCGUUUGGUACCUUCUGGGGUCUAUGUCUCCCCUUUGUUAGACUAAACCAGGCGUGUCGUCAGUUCGAUACCCUCCUGGAGUCUAUGAUUCUUUGCCUUAGUCAGCAGUCCUCACUGCUGAGGCAUAUGUUAUUCCCUGAUGUCUCCUGCUUUCUUAAAUAAUCAAAUUCAGUAUUUUGAUAACAAUGUCAAUUAAGGGAAAACUACCUCUUACCACAAUGCACUGAAACAGUCUUGGUAGAAGGCUGCUUUAUUUAAAGAAAAUAUAGGAUUUUCUGGAAAGGACACUGAAGCACUGAAAGCACUUAAACUACUACUUAUUAAAGUUAUUUGACUAAAUGACACUAAAUGCUUAUGAACUCACCAGCAUUUGUAAAAAAAAAUGCUGAUACUCGCUUUUCAAAUAACUUGUAAUCUUAGGUAAGCAAUUAGACAGGUACAUCCCCGGAGCUGCUGAUGAAGAUGGCCUAAGUACCUUGCUGCACUUCAUAUAUGUUGCUUGUAUUACUUUGAUACUAUGUAAUGUAACCAUGUAAAAUUAUUACUAUUAAUGCAAUGUUUUGUUGUACUUUGAUUACUAUAUGCAUGUGUUGUGAUACUUGACAUGACGUCAUCUACCCCAGAACGUUUCCGCCGUUCCGGUUUUGGGGUGUGACAGUUUUUUUAUUGUUCAAUGAUAUUUUCAUUAUUUUCUCUAGUCAUCAUACUUUCUAAGAAAUCUUUUUGCAGAUUGAAGGGGGAAAUGGGAAAAGAUGGGUACUCAUCUAUACAGUCACUGGGUUCAAUGAGUUACAUCGAAAUAAUGGAUAGUGGGUAUGGUAAUGAUACAUGCAUAUCGAGUGGAAACAUAUCUGGAAGUAGUUUCAUAUGUGUAUUAAGUUAUGAUAUUGACUCCUUUUUAAGCAAGUCUAAAGGUUGUUGUUGGGUUUAACUUUUAAUGAUAUGAUUGUAUCAAGAAAUGAUCUAUAUAAUUAUAACUAUAACCAAUAUGAUUUUUUUCAGUUAAACCAAGUGAAACUGCAUAGUAAAGGAAUGAGUAUGAAGCUAGGUAAGGGAAAAACAAUUCCUAGAAUCAUGAAAUGUUGAAGCUGAAGUGAUUAUGGAAUAUGUAUGUGCAAAUGGUGGUAAUAAUCCAGGUAGAUUUGUGACUAUUGGAAAUAUAUUACGAAGAUAAGGAUUUUUUUUUCUUGGUAGCUGGAAUUAAGUCUAAUUAAGAUUAUAUUUUAAUCGCAUCAACUUAAUGAAAGAAGUUGAAGUGAUGAAUGGGUUACCUUUGAAGCAUAUCAUAUACAUCAAUUUGCUAGAAUAAUAACUCAUACAUAACAAUAAUCAAUUCCUUAAAUUAUUACAUUUAUUGUACUUUAAUAAUUAUAUGUGAUUUGGCUAUGGGGCAAUUUUUGUUAACAUUUUAAACUAGAUAUCAUUUUUUGUUGGCAUAUUGUUGUUUUUUUUAAUCACAUGUAUGAUGUUUAUACAUAAUAAGGUAACGUACUUUCAUUUUAAUGUUUAUUUUUCUAUUAUUUUGGAACCUUUUUACUUGAAAGGCCAAUCUGCUUUAUUUUUUGGGUUUCUACUCACAUGGUAUCCUUUUGAGCAUCAAAAAGCAAUGUACUUUGACUUUAUUUGGUUUUUUAUCAACUAUUAUGGUUGUGUGUCAAAAGAAAAUGAAUUUUUAUUGGUUUUAAAUUCAUGUCAUCUGUUUUAGUAUUUGUGUACCUCACCCACAAAAAAACGAUGAAACAAUAAAACAAUAAAGCAACGUACUUUCAUUUGUGUACCUCAUCCUCGUGCAAAGCACAUGCAUUUUGACUAGUUAUAUCAUUAAAAAAAUAGUUAUUAAAAGGUUGAUGUGACUUGGAUGAUGUAGGAUUUUUUUACAAAUUUAAGUAAUCUAAACUAAUAUGCAUUUUUUUGGACAAAUAACCAUUUUAUUUGUAAAAUGACCACAUUGUUUGGAACAAUGUGUUCCGGAGUGGAGUACAAAAUCCUAAACCAACAUUCUGGAGUGGUAUUUCAAAGUUGUUUUCAAAAUUUGUAAAUUUAACUUAACUGUUGUUCAUAUGUAGUUUGUUCAUUUUUGUGUUUAAUUAUGGUUUAGUGGCCGUUAAAUUUUAUAUGGGUUUUGAAAAAGAAAUUGUAUAUAUUGCAAAAAGUAACAGAACAAUGCAUGAAAAUUCAUAAUCUAUUGCAAAAGUUAUCACUACAUAAACUUAUAUAUGUUUUAAUUAAUAAUACAAUAUGAAAAUGGACCCUUAUUUUUUCUUUGUAUCCUACACGAUUUAUGCAAAUCGCUUUCGAUAUGACAUGGUCCACGUCUUAGUGGAACCCUUAAUCCUCACAGAUUUCCAACGAUCAACCUCUCUUGAAAUCAAUAUAACAACACUCCACAAUCCCCUUUAUCACUACAUUGUUAUGGUACAUAUGCGCCUUCAUAAUAGUGACUUUGAAACUCGCAUGUGGGGAUUACAUCCAUGGGUUUGUUACUCCAAUAGUUGAUACCCACUAGGAGUUGGUGGACACUGGAUCACAUAGUUAUAAACCAAGAUGCAGAUUUUGAAAAAUAUAUAAACCAAGAUGCAUAUUUUGAAAAAUAUUUGUCAUUCCAGUAUGUAUCAUAUAUAGUCAAUCUGAAUGUUUAAAAAUCCAAAAAACCAGAAACGAGUGGCCAUGUGAUAUAUUAAUAGGGAUGUAUAGUUGCAUAAAAGGUUGGAAUCAAAUAAUCAUCAUAUAAUAUUUUCUUAUAAGUGACUAUUAAUUACUCAAGUAAUGUAAUUGAAAAACAAGUAUAUCAUAUACCACUCAAAAUAAGUAAAGUAAAUGGAUCGGCCAUGUCAUAAUUGAUGGGUUUUAGCCAUAAGAACUUUCCUAUGUGCGCAUGCAAAACCCUAAUGCUUGGAUCUAGGCUUUCUAAUAAACAUGCAUUGAAUCCAAGUCUUCUAAUGACUAAUUAGGUUAAACAAGAACAUUGAAACAGAUCUAGAAUCAUACCUUUGAGUUCCUUGUUGAUCUUGAGGUCUUGGAGCUUCUAGAGUCACAAGUGUCACUCCUCUAAUGGCUUACAAACACCAAAGCAAGGAGGAUGAUUUGGGAGAGAGGAGAGGGGAGGAAUUCGACCAGAGGUUCCUUACUUUAGGUCAAGUGUCGAAUUCCAUCAGCCAUGGGGUUUAUUUAUACUUGUAGACUCCUUAAGGAUUACAGAUAAGUCCCUAUCAGAUAAUCUUCUCUUAAGGCUAUCCAAAUCCAUUCCUAGAUAACUCUAAUGGACGAUUUUAGCUAUCCUAAUCCUAUUAGAAUUCGUCCAUAGUAUAUCCAAAUGGAUUUACAGUUUAAAGCUUAACUAUCAAACAAUUGACAGUUUAUACCCCUUUACUUAAUUAAUCUCUUUAAGUCACCAAAUUAAUUCUAAUUAAUUCUAUGACUUAUAUUAAUCAAAUAACAAAUAUAUUAUUCAUUAUAUUAUUCACAUAAUAUAUUAAUAAUAUUUAUUCUCUCUUAAUAAAUCAUCCUAUCAAGUUGCUAUGGUGAAGGCAACCCAAAAGGACCAUGCACAACCGGAUAUAGUUACAGCCUUAGACACUAUUCCAACAGUCUCCCACUUGGAUAAGUCUAGUAACUAUACAAGUACAAUUCGGUUUGCAAUCGUAGCUCUCAAAGACGCUGUCAACUCUGAUCUAAUCAAUCUUGUCCUUUAGAUAAGGGAACGUACAGUCCUCUGUUAGAUAUCAUGCUGACAAUCCUAUGGAAUGGUUAGUCAAGCAUUUAGGUUUCUCGAUCUCUGAUUUAUUUGACAUAGAACUUAAUCGAACACAUCAAUUCAGUUCUGACCGGGCCCGGCACAUAAGUCAAAUCAAAUCAUCGAGCGGCCGAGAUAUCGCUUUUACCUUCUUAGAUAAAAGUUACAGAUAAACUUCGACUUAUAUGCAUUUACUUAUUCAUUAACCAACUAUACACAACAAUACGUUUUAUAACACCAAGUUACUGAUGCGUUUUCGUAUUAUCAAUGUACAAUCAAUUAACAAAUAAUAAACCAUAUAUCUAGGUUUUAAGACUAUAUGAUAUUAUCGUCUUGCGAUCACCUUUUAUAUCGUAUUCCAUAAGGUGAUUCCAGCAAGCGCGGGUUUAUUCCAAUGCUCAAAACUAGUUCAUAAGCACUCAUGAACGUUGCAGCAAUCCUUUGCUAUGUCUAACACCAUUUAGACAUUCUACACACCAAUUCAUGACAAUCUUCUUUCAUAUCUACUCCCAACAUAUGAACGAUUGUGGACCAUUUGAAUAAUUCGAUUAUUCCUAAUAAACUCAAUUAUUCUGGAAGUCAAAACAUGCAAAGUGAAACAAUAGCUAAACAAUUAACAUAAGAUAGUAACAUUACUCAUAAAUAAAACUCCUUUAUUUAAUCAUCAAAUGUCAAUUACAUUUAUCUAUUACACGUUUCUAAUACUAUCUAAUCUAUGCUAAUAUCAUCCUUCAGCCCAAUACUCCUAGCAUGCUGCAAGUGCUUAACCCUACUCAGUCCCUUCGUAAGCGGAUCUGCUGGGUUAUCUUCUGAUGAUAUCCUCUUCACUACGAGUUGUCCUUCUUCUACACGAUGUCUAAUGAAGUGAUACUUUCUGUCGAUAUGUCUUGAUCUACCAUGAUCCCUCGGUUCCUUGGUUAAGGCAACCGCACCUUCGUUAUCACAGAAAAUCUCCAUUGGCUCCUUUAUGGCAGGUACGACUCCAAGAUCACCGAUGAAGUUCUUUAGCCAUAUUGCCUCCUUCGACGCUUCGCUCGCUGCAAUGUACUCUGAUUCGCACGUUGAAUCAGCUACGGUUUCCUGCUUGGAACUCUUCCAUGUCACUGCUCCUCCAUUUAGGGUAAAGACCCAGCCCGACUGCGAACGGUAGUUGUCCCUGUCGGUCUGAAAACUGGCGUCACUAUACCCUCGCACCUUCAAGUCAUCACUCCCUCCGAGGACUAAGAACCAUUCCUUCGUCCUCCGAAGGUACUUAAGGAUAUUCUUCACCGCAAUCCAAUGUGCUUUGCCAGGAUUCCCUUGAUAUCUGCUAACCAUGCUCAAAGCGAAGGCUACAUCAGGGCGAGUACAAGUCAUAGCGUACAUGAUUGAGCCAACUGCGGAAGCGUAUGGUACUCGGCUCAUUUCUGCUAUCUCAGCUUCGGUACUCGGACUUUGAGUCUUACUCAAUUUGGCAUUACUUUGUAUCGGUAGUUCUCCCUUCUUUGAGUUUUCCAUACUAAAACGUUUUAGUACCUUCUCUAAGUAAGUAUUCUGACUAAGUCCAAUUAGUCUCUUACUUCUUUCUCUUACUAUCCUUAUUCCCAAAAUGUAAGAAGCCUCUCCGAGGUCCUUCAUAGCGAAGCACUUCCCGAGCCAGGACUUAACCUCCUGCAGAGUCGGGAUGUCGUUUCCUAUGAGUAAUAUGUCAUCGACAUAUAGAACGAGGAAGCUUACUAUACUCCCACUGGCUUUGACAUAUACACAAGAUUCGUCUUCGCUUCGUACAAAUCCAAACUCUUUGACUUUCUCAUCGAAGCAAAGAUUCCAUCUGCGAGACGCUUGCUUAAGUCCAUAAAUGGACUUCUCAAGCUUACACACUCUAUUCGGAUGCUUCGGAUCCACAAACCCCUCUGGCUGAGCCAUGUAAACAUCCUCAGCCAACUUUCCGUUAAGGAAAGCGGUCUUGACAUCCAUUUGCCAAAUCUCAUAAUCAUGAAAUGCGGCAAUUGCUAGCAUCACUCUAAUAGAUUUAAUCUUCGCAACUGGUGAGAAGGUCUCAUCAUAGUCAACUCCGGGAGUUUGAGUAAAGCCCUUCGCAACCAAUCGCGCUUUAUAUGUGUGUACGUUUCCAUCCACGUCGGUCUUCUUCUUGAAGAUCCAUUUGCACCCAACGGUCUUACGUCCGGGCACAUAAUCAACCAAAUUCCAAACUUGGUUAUCAUACAUGGAUUGGAUCUCGCUAUCCAUUGCCUCUUUCCAUUUUGCAGACUCCGGGCCUGCCAUGGCUUCCUUAUAGCUAUUAGGUUCAUCAAGAUUUAUUAGUGUACCAUCACUAAUAUACGUGUCCCCUUCGGUAGUAAUAUGAAAACCAUAAAACUGGGGUUGAACUCUAACUCUAUCGGAACGUCUAAGAGGUAAGGAUUCGUCAAUCGGUUCAACCGGAGUUUCCUCCUCGGGUUGAGUGCCAGCGGUAGAGGUUCCUUCAUCUAUCGACUCUUGAAUCUCUUCAAGCUCGAUUUGCCUCCCACUGUCUCCUUGGCUUAUGAGUUCUCGCUCUCGGAAAACUCCUCUCCUCGCAACGAAGACAACAUUGUCCUUCGGUCUAUAGAAGAGAUAUCCAAAGGAUGUCUGCGGGUAGCCGAUGAAAAUACAUCGCUCACUUCGAGGUUCAAGCUUGUCGUGAGUAUCUCGUCUUACGAAAGCCUCGCAACCCCAAACCUUGAUAUGUGCCAACGAGGGAGCUUUCCCUGUCCACAUCUCGUGAGGUGUUUUGGCAACCUUCUUAGUAGGGACUCGGUUAAGGAUAUGGGCGGCAGUCUCUAAGGCAUACCCCCAAAAAGAGAUAGGUAGUGAAGCACGACUCAUCAUAGAGCGAACCAUAUCCAAUAAGGUUCGAUUACGCCUUUCUGCCACACCAUUCAACUGCGGUGUCCUAGGAGGCGUCAAUUGCGAAACUAUUCCACACUCCUUGAGAUAAUCGUGGAAUUCAAGACUUAGGUACUCUCCUCCUCGAUCGGAUCGAAGCAUCUUGAUUUUCCUGCCCAAUUGAUUCUCCACUUCAUUCUUGAACUCUUUGAACUUUUCAAAGGUGUCUGACUUUUGCUUGAUUAAGUAGAUAUACCCAUAUCUACUAUAGUCAUCGGUAAAAGUCACAUAGAAGCGGUUCCCAUCCUUCGUGGUUGAUCUAAACGGUCCACAUACAUCGGUAUGUAUUAGGUCCAAUAGACCCUCGCCCCUUUCACAUGUACUCGUGAAGGGUGACUUAGUCAUCUUUCCAAGCAAACAAGACUCGCAUGUGUCAUCUUCCCUAAGGUCGAAUGACUCCAACACUCCAUCCUUUUGGAGUUGGGCUAUGCGUUUCUUGUUGACAUGUCCAAGACGACAAUGCCACAAGGAUGCUUUAUCCAUACUAGUGGAAGAAUCAAUAUUCAAAACAUCAUUUCCUAAGUUAUCAACAAUCAUAACGGUUUCAUAUAUUCCAUUACAUGGUAUAGCUUCAAAGUAAAAGACACCAUUUAGAUAAGCCAAAAUAGAACCAUUCUCAUUAUUAAAAGAAAAUCUAAAUCCUUGUCUAUAUAAACCAUGAAAUGAAAUGAUGUUUCUUGCCAUUUCUGGCGAAUAGCAACAAUUGUUCAAAUCUAAAACUAAACUAUUCCUAAGCACUAAGGAAUACACUCCAAUCUUGGUCACAGGCGACGAUCUUCUGUUCCCCAUGAUUAGAUUGAUCCUUCCUUGCUCCACAUCCCUACUUCUUCUUAGUCCCUGCACAUUAGAACAAAUGUGAUAACCACAACCGGUAUCAAGAACCCAAGAAAUAGCAUGAUUAGAAUCGUUAGAUUUGAUUGUAUAUAUACCUGCGAAAGAUGGCUUGAUCUUUCCUUCUUUGAUUGCUUGCAGGUAAUCCGGGCAGCUUCUCUUCCAAUGUCCUAUCUUGUGGCAGUGGUGGCACUCUGCCUCCUUCGGGUUAGAGCAGGGCUUGGCGGGAUCAACUUUGGUCCCACUAGAAGAGGCACCAUCUCGGGCUUUCACCUUGCGAUAGUUCUUCGAUGAAGCUUUCCUCUUCUUUCCCUUCCCUUGUCCAAUAGCCAAGACAGGAGCAGCGGGCGGAUUGGGAGUAGGUGCAACAGACUUGUCUUUGAAGUUGCUCUCAGCAACCCUCAAGAGACCUUGGAGCUUGCUUAGGGUGACCUCUUCUUUGUUCAUGUGGUAGGUCAUCCUAAAUUGGUUGUACAUCGGAGGCAAAGAGUGAAGCACCAUGUCGAUCGCCAAGUCUUCACCGAAGUCAACAUUUAACUUGCGGAGGCGGUCAACAUACCUUUGCAUCUUUUGCAAGUGCACGGUAAGAGAUUCUCCAUGACCCAUCUUCGCGGAAAUCAUGUUAGUGAAAAUCUCGUACCUCUCUUGUCUCGCGUUUUGGUGGUACCUCUCCAAUAAGUCUUGAUGCAUCUCGUACGGGUACAUGUCCUCGUAGGACUUUUGGAAUUCGGAGUUCAUGGUGGCGAUCAUGAUGCAAUGUACCUUCGUUGCAUCUCGCUCAUGAGUUUCAAAGGCGGUGAUUUCGGCGGGAGUAGCAAUUUCGGGGUUGAUUUUCUCGAGCUUCUCAUCGAGGACAUACUCCUUAUCCUCAUAGCGAGCAAUGGUGCGAAUGUAUCUUAUCCAUUCGCUAAAGUUCGUUCCAUCGAAGGUGACCUUUUGGCAAAGGCUCAUCAACGUGAAAGAACUAGCAGCAGCGUUGUUUGCGUUCGACAUCUACAAUUAGAAAAGGACAAAGAUAGAUUAGAAUAAGAAUCCCUAAUUAUCACCCAAUAAGAAAAUUAGGGCUAGGAUCCAACAAUAACAUUUACAUACUAGAAAAGGGAUGCCGUAAUCUAACAUGCAAAUAAAUUGAAGGUAAGUGAAUGACGAUUCACUAAUUCUCCAUCACAAAACUUAAACUAUUAGUCCUAAGUGUUUUUGAGAAUUCCUAGGUUCGGAUGAGAUUCAUUGAAACUAUUCAAUGGCAUGUUUAAAUCUCGAUAUGCCCCUCUUGUUUGUGACUGGGAUGCCGAGGAUCACAAAGCGGGUGUGAAUUACCAUGCAAAUUCACAUGGUGCCUUCAUUGUAACAAUCACCUAUUCGAUGUGCCGGUAAACCACACACGCUCCAUCGAACUAUGAUAAACAAUGAAUCACCCUUUGCCACCUUCGCUUAGAACCAAUUAGUGUGCCGGUAAACCACACACGCUCCACUAACAUCUUAGCAAGGUGCAAAGUGUAAUUUCAUGGGAUUGCAUCAAUUCACUUUUCCUAAAGUAACUAGGAUUGGGAAAUUUUAAAAAAAUGUGUAGUUACUUUAUAUUUCUUAUUAUACUUUUAAUGAGAGGAUGAGGUUGCCCUAUCCUACCCGUUCGGCUAACGACCCUCCACCAAUCAAGCAAGCGGUGGGUGUGAGUGUACACCCAUUAAGCGCCAUUUUAUAGGCCGCAACCUUAUACCCACCUUAUAGAUCGGCUUCGUGAAUGAGGCCUACUAACGGUAAGACUAGCAUUUAGUUAUACAUAUAUAUAUUAUUCUAGUAAUAUCAUAUUAGUAUAGGGUUGUAUUUUAAAACUUUUAAAAUCUAGGGUUUGAAAUUUAAGUUGUCUAAAUUAAAACUUUUAAUCACAAAAGUAAAUUUCAAAACAUGAGGGUAGGUUUUAAACAUUUAAAACAUGGAGGAUCAAAUAACAAAUAAUUCCAAUUAACAAUUAAUAUCCUAAUUAUCUAUAUUUGAUUUAUUCAAGAUUUCUUUUAAAGAUAAUUACCAAAAUAAUCAAAAUAAUUAAUUAAUUAUCAUAUAAGGAAAUUAAAUAUUUAAUUAGUUGAUAAUUACCUUUAACUAGAUCAAGAUAAUAGUUAUAUUUAUCAGAAAAACGAAUUAAUGUUGAUCUAAUUAGUUUAUGGUAAGUUAAGAUAAGAUAAACACAAAGAAAUCCCGAAUCUGGCCAUUCCUGACGCCUGGACUCGCCGAGUGCACAAAUGGACUCGCCGAGUCAGGCCUACUCGCCGAGUCCACUUUGAGACUCGCCGAGUCCAUGACUCAGAAACCAAAAAUUCGAAUUUUGCAGGUUUGUUUCAGUUAAUCAAGCAACAAUUUACAGAAAACCAAGCUAGGCUCUGAUACCACUGAUGGGUUUUAGCCAUAAGAACUUUCCUAUGUGCGCAUGCAAAACCCUAAUGCUUGGAUCUAGGCUUUCUAAUAAACAUGCUUUGAAUCCAAGACUUCUAAUUACUAAUUAGGUUAAACAAGAACAUUAAAACAGAUCUAGAAUCAUACCUUUGAGUUCCUUGUUGAUCUUGAGGUCUUGGAGCUUCUAGAGUCACAAAUGUCACUCCUCUAAUGGCUUACAAACACCAAAGCAAGGAGGAUGAUUUGGGAGAGAGGAGAGGGGAGGAAUUUCGACCAGAGGUUCCUUACUUUAGGUCAAGUGUCGAAUUCCAUCAGCCAUGGGGUCUAUUUAUACUUGUAGACUCCUUAAGGAUUACAGAUAAGUCCCUAUCAGAUAAUCUUCUCUUAAGGCUAUCCAAAUCCAUUCCUAGAUAACUCUAAUGGACGAUUUUAGCUAUCCUAAUCCUCUUAGAAUUCGUCCAUAGUAUAUCCAAAUGGAUUUACAGUCUAAAGCUUAACUAUCAAACAAUUGACAGUUUAUACCCCUUUAUUUAAUUAAUCUCUUUAAGUCACCAAAUUAAUUCUAAUUAAUUCUAUGACUUAUAUUAAUCAAAUAACAAAUAUAUUAUUCAUUAUAUUAUUCACAUAAUAUAUUAAUAAUAUUUACUCUCUCUUAAUAAAUCAUCCUAUCAAGUUGCUAUGGUGAAGGCAACCCAAAAGGACCAUGCAUAACCGGAUCAAAUACUUGCCUAAUAUAGUUGCAGCCUUAGACACUAUUCCAACAAUAAUACUCCUCUACAUCUGUAUUGAAAGUUGUCAAUAAAAUUGUCCACUGAUCGAGGUCAUCAUCUCGAUCAAAAAUAAACUACACACACACACACUAGAUAGCUAGGGUAAGUAAGGGUCGAAUCAACGAGGAGUUUGUGGUCAAACCUUGUGUUGAACAUGUUUCUUCCCCAGUGGGUUAAACGUGUUUUCGGGUUUUGUGACUAUUUAAGGUGCAUUAUUACCAAUGGUUUGUCAUUCCUCAGCCUCCAUAAACCUUAAAAUGUUCCUUGAGUGAAACCCUAGUAGGUUGAACGUGUUUUAGGGUUUUGUGACUACGUACUCUGAUUCACACGUUUAAUCAGCCACAGUCUCCUAUUUGGAACUUUUCCAAGUUCUUUCUCCUCCAUUUAGGGUAAACACCCAACCCGACUGAGAAUGCAUAUUAUCUCUUUCAGUCUGAAAUCCGGCGUCACAAUACCCUAAUACUCUCAAGUCAUCACUCCCACCGAGAGUAAGGAUCCAAUCAUUAGUCCUCUGUAAGUACUUAAGAAUGUUCUUAACUGCAGUCCAAUGAGCUCUACCAGGAUUUCCUUGAUAUCUAAUGACCAUGCUUAAAGCAAAGGCCACAUCAGGGCGAGUACAAGUCAUAGCAUACAUGAUUGAGCCGACCGCCGAAGCAUAUGGUACUCGACUCAUUUCUGCUAUCUCAACCUCUAUACUCGGACUCUGAGUCUUACUUAGUUUGGUAUUGCUUUGGAUAGGCAAGUCAUCUUUCUUGGAGUUCUCCAUGCUGAAAUGCUUCAGCACCUUGUCCAAGUACGUACUUUGACUAUGUCCUAUUAGUAUCUUACUCCUGUCUCUUAAAAUCCUUAUCCCUAGGAUAUAGGUAGCUUCUCCAAGGUCCUUCAUAGCAAAACACUUCCCAAGCCAGGACUUGACUUCCUGCAAGGUCGAGACGUCAUUUGCUAUAAGUAAUAUGUCAUCCACAUACAACACGAGAAAUCUAACUAUCCUCCCACUAGCCUUGACAUACAUACAGGACUCAUCCUUGCUUCUCGAAAAUUCAAACUGUUUGACUUUCUCAUCGAAACAAAGAUUCCAACUGCGAGAUGCUUGUUUCAAUCCAUAUAUGGAUCUCUCAAGCUUACACACUCUAUUAGGGUAUCUUGCAUCGACAAAACCCUCUGGCUGACUCACGUAAACAUCUUCAGCCAACUUUCCAUUAAGGAAAGUAGUUUUGACAUCCAUCUACCAUAUUUCAUAUUUAUGAAAUGCAGCUAUGGCCAACAUAACCCUUAUAGAUUUAAUCUUUGCUAUUGGUGCGAAGGUCUCAUCAUAGUCAACUCCAUGAGUUUGAGUAAAGCCCAUUGCAACUAGUCGCGCCUUAUAUGUGUGUACUUUUCCAUCCAUGCCGAUUUUCUUCUUGAAGAUCCAUUUGCACCCGACGGUCUUUCGACCCGGUUCAUUGUCAACCAAGUUCCAAAACAUGAUUAUCAUAUAUGGACUGAAUCUCGCUAUCCAUAGCCUCCUUCCAUUUAGCAGAUUCAGGACCAGCCAUGGCUUCCUUGUAGUUGUUAGGCUUAUCCAAAUUCACCAAUGUACUAUCACUGAUAAAUGUAUCACCUUUUACAGUAAUAUGGAAACCAUAAUAAUACUCAGGUGCAAUCCUAACUCUGGUGGAAUGCCUCAGAGGUACAGAUUCGUCAAUAGGUUCAAUAGGAGUUUCUUCCUCGGGUUGAUCGCUAGUGUUUCAGGUUCCUUCAUCGAUUGAUACUUGAAGCUCUUCAAUGUCAAUUUGCCUCCCACUGUCCCCUUGGAAUAUAAGCUCUCUCUCACGAAAGGCCCUUCUCGUGACGAAAACAUCAUUGUCACUCAGUCGAUAAAAGAGAUAUCCAAAGGAUUUCUGUGGUUAGCCGAUGAAAAUACAUCGCUUACUCUGAGGUUCGAGCUUGUCGUGAGUCUCGCACCUCACGAAAGCCUCGCAACCCCAAACUUUGAUGUGAUCCAAAGUGGGAACUUUCCCAGUCCUCAUCUCAUGAGGUGUUUUGGUAACCUCCUUUUGCAGGGACUAGAUUAAGGAUAUGGGCAGAAGUCUCUAAGGUAUACCCCCAAAACGAGAUUGAUAACGAAGCUUGACUCAUCAUAAAACAAACCAUGUCCAACGAGGUUCGAUUGCACCUCUCAGCCGUGGUGUCCUAGGAGGUUUCAGUUGUGAAACAAUUCCACAUUCCUUAAGAUAGUUGUCGAACUCGAUACUAAGAUACUCUCCUCCUCGAUCGGAUGGGAGUAACUUUAUCUUCCUGCCUAAUUGAUUCUCCACUCCUGCCUUAAAAUCUUUGAACUUUCAAAGGUUUCUGACUUAUGCUUGAUUAAGUAGAUAUAUCCAUACCUACUUUAAUCAUCUGUAAAAGUCACAUAGAAGCGGCUAGCAUUUCUUGUGACAGAUCUGAAGGGCCCACACACAUCAUUGUGUAUGAGAUCAAACAAACCCUCACCCAUUUCACAAGUACCAGUAAAGGGUGACUUAGUCAUCUUUCCAAGUAAACAAGAUUCACAAGUGUCAUCCGAUUUCAAGUCGAAUGAUUCCAAGACUCCAUCCUUUUGGAGUUGGCCUAUACGCUUCUUGUUGACAUGUCCAAGACGACAAUGCCAUAAGCAUGCUUUAUCCAAAUCAUUGGAUGAAUCAAUAUGUAACACAUUAUUUCCUAGGUUAUCUACAACAUUCAUAGUUUCAUACACACCGUUACAAGGCAAAGCUUCAAAAUAAAAGACACCAUUAUAAUAAGCAUAAAUACCAACAUUAUUAUUAUUAAAAGCAAAGGUAAAAUCUUGUUUAUACAAACUGUGAAAGGAAAUAAUAUUUCUCGUAAUAUCGGCAGAGAAACAACAAUUAUUCAAAUCUAAAUUUAAACCAUUAUUAAUCAAUAAAGAAUAAACUCCAAUCUUGGUCACAGACAACACUUUCUUAUUUCCCAUGAUUAAGUUUAUCUUCCCGUGAUCCAUAUCCUUACUUCUUGUUAGUCCCUGCAAAUCAGAACAAAUAUGAAUACCACAACCAGUAUCAAGGACCCAAGAAUUAGCAUAUGAUGUUUCAUUAGAAUGAAUAGUGUAAAUACAUGCAAUGGAGGGCUUGAUUUUCCCACCCUUAAUAUCAUGCAAGUCCUUUGGGCAGCUUCGCUUCCAGUUCCCCUUUUCAUGGCAAUGGAAACACUCUGCUUCCUUUGGAUUGGUAGAGGGCACAACAGAACCAACUUUGGUUCCGCUAGAAGAAGAUCCAUCCUAGGACUUUGUUGGAUUAGUGUCUAUGUCCAUAACUAUUUUGGUAUGUACUUGACCCUAUUAUGAGCAUGGUCCUUUUGGGUUGCCUUCAUCAUAGCAAUAUGUAGGAUGAAUUAAGGAGAGAAAGGUUUAAUUAUGACUUGUUAAUAUAUUAUAAGAAUAAUAUAUUAAAUGAGAAACCGAAAUGUUUAAUUAAUAUUAGUCAAGAAUUAAUUUUGUGGCUAAAAGAGAUCAAUUAAACUUAAGGGACUUACUGUGCAAUUAUAAGAUAAUUACAUAGAUGAGCUUAUGGACUCCAUAGAAGGUGGAGUGGACGAAUUCUAUGGGGAAACCCAUUAGAAAUCAUCCAAGGCUUCUAAAGAAGGAGUCUAUGGGCUGCUUAGGGCUUAAGCAGUCAAAUUAGGGUUUCCUUGUUAGAUAACCCUAAUUGCCUAAGUAUAUAAGGAGCCCUUAGGCACCAAAAACAUGGUUAACUGAUUCCUUAGGGUUAUUAGACGUUUUUUGGGUGCCUCCUCUCUUCUCCUUCUUCAUCUAGUUGCUUAGUGGUGUUUGUGACUCCAUUAGAGGUGCAGCACUUGAGGCACUAAGCUUUCUAAAGCUAAGGAUUGAUAGUUAUUGUUAUAUAACAAUCUAAGGUCAGAUCUAAACUCUAUUUUAUGUUAAUAUGAUUAACUGUAUUCCAGAUCUAGGGUUUAUAGCUUUGGAUAUUCAAUUGCAUGUUCAUUAGACAAACUAGAUCCAAAAGCUAUUAGGGUUUGCAUGUACACCAUAUGAUUGAUGUUUUGCGGAAAACCCAUCAGUGGUAUCAGAGCCUAGGGUUGUUUGUUUGAUGUAUUUGAUGCGUUGGUUGAUUAUUCAUGCUUAAAAUCGAAUUUUUUUUGGUUCUGGUGGCUGGACUCGCAGAGUCCAUGGCUGAACUCGCCGAGUCCAUAGUGAACUCGACGAGUCCAUGCUUGACUCGACGAGUCGGAGUCACAGAUGGAAUGUAGAUUUCGGGAUUUUGACCUGUUUUAGUUGUAGAUAAUUACCUAAAACGUUUUAUAUUAAUAUAAUCUGACUUUUAUCAAUAUUUGGAAUUUAUCCUUGCCAAAAUUGAAGAUUAUUAAUAUAAUCUGACUUUUAUCAAUAUUUGGAAUUUAGAUAAUCUUUUGUUUUAUUAGAUAAAUAUUGAUUAUUUGUAAUUUAGAUUUGAAUUAUCAUGUGAAAAAGUUUCAAUUUCCUCCUUUAGGUUUUAUAGUUUAAAUUUAAACUUAAAAGUUUUGUUUUUGAAAUUUAAAUAGUUAAACCUCAAUGUUUUGAAAAGUUUCAAAACUUGCCCUCAAGUUUUGAUAUUUAAAAUUUUGAUUAAAAGUUUAAUUUUGAAAUGUUUAAAUUCUAAACCCCUAAUGUUUUGAAAUGUUUCAGAACCUACCCUCAAGUUUGGAAUUUAAAAGUUGAUUAAAAGUUUAAUUUUGAAAUUUUAAAUUCUAAAAACCCUAGUAAUUUGAAAAGUUCAAACCACAGCCUUAUGGUUUUAUUAAUUAAUUAAAGUGUAUAAUUAAAAAAGAUUNAUGGUUUUAUUAAUUAAUUAAAGUGUAUAAUUAAAAGUGAUUUAAUAAACCCAUAAAGUUUUGGUUUACAUUUAAUUAAAUUAAAAGUAUAAUUUUACUAAAUUAAACCACCUAGUAUUUUAAAAGUGUAAAAUACACCCUAUACUAUAUAUAACAUUAAAAGUCUAACAUUAUAUAUAUAUAUGAGUAAAAGUCAGUCUUACCGUUAGUAGGCCUCAUUCACGAAGCUGGUCUAUAAGGGGUGUUUAAGGAAAUUGCCUAUAAAAUGGCGAUUGAAUGGGUAUCCACUCUUACCCACCGCACUCUUGACUAGUGGAGGGUCGUUAGCCGAACGGGUAGGAUAGGACAGAAACCUUCCAUUAUAAGUAUAAUGAAGUACAAAGUAACUAAAUGCUUAUACAAAUUCCCAAAUCAUAGUUACUUUAGGCAAAAUGUGAAAUUGUAUGCUAACCCAUGGAAUUACACUUCGUACCCUUGUGAAACGUUAGUGGAGCGUGUGUGGUUAACCAGCACACUAAUUUGGGGAUAACAUUGGUGGCGAAGGGUGGCUCGAUGCUUAUCAUAAAUCAAUGGAGCGUGUGUGGCUAACCGGCACAUUGAUUAGGUGACAGUUGCAUUGGGUGCACCACGUGAUUCGUAUGGUUAUUCACACCUUAUUUGUGAUCCUCGGCAUCCUAGUCACAAAUUGUAGGGCAUAAUCGAGAUUAAACAAUCCAUUAAAAAUUUCAAUGAAUCUUAAAAGAUCUAGGAGUUUCAAUUCAUUUAAAACUUAAACUUCCUUUUCGUUUUUCAUGGUGGAAAUUGGUAAAUCGUCAUUUACCUACCUUCAAAUAUUUUGCGACUAGAUUACGACAUCCCUCUUCUAGGUUGUAGAGUAUUAUGUUGGAUCCUAGCUUGAUGUUUCAUUUGAGUGUUACAUCAAGAAUUCGAAUCAACUUAACUUGAAUUUUCUCCCAUUUUGUAGAUGUCUAGUUCUGACAAUCAUGGUCUUCCCAAAUCCCAUGGAACAAGCUUUCAAAAUGAAGAUGAUGUUCCAUGAUAUGAUCGAGGAACAAGAGAUCAUGCUUCACUUCCUCCACCUCCUCCAAUUGUUCUCCCUAACCCACAAGUUCAAAGGCUUGAAAAGUUCAAGCUCACUCAAGCCCUAUUGGAAAUUAAGCAUGAAGAUGGAAAGUCUGUGUGUGCACACGUCUUAGAGAUGAAGUCGCACAUUGAUAGGUUAAGUAUGUUGGGUGUCGAGACCUCAAGUGAGUUGGCUGUUGACUGGGUUCUUCAGUCACUUCCUGAAUCAUAUGGUGAGUUCGUUAGAGAGUACUAUAUGAUGGACCACGACAUGACCCUCAUUGAUCUCACCUAUUUGCUUAUAGCUGCUGAAUCAGCAAUGAUUUGGCGUGCUGGUCAAGCAAAUUUGUCUGGUGAAUCAAACUCCCAAACUUCAAUGGAUGUUGAAAAUGAUGACAUUGGAGAUCCAGAAAAGGUAAACUCUGAGAUAGUCCCUUGUGUCAUUCCAAAGGAGUCCAUUUGCUUUUAUUGCCAAGAGAAGGGACAUUGGAGACAAAGCUGCCCUGUUUACCUGAGAGAUCUAAGAGAUGGGAGAGUCAACACAUAUGGCUCUACUUCAGGUAAAAUCCAUUAACUAACUCUGUAAGUUCCUAUUUUUGAUUCUUAUACAUGAUUUGAUAAGAUUACAUUUUGAUGUUUUGCAAGAUCGAAGAAAAGAAAGGAAGCUUAAGGAAGAAGCUACUGAAUCUGAUCACGAAGAAAUGGAUUUCGAUCGCAUGGAUUCAAAGAUCGGAUUUUUGAGCUGCUACUUUAGAGUUAGGGUAGAUUGCUAAGAAAUAUGUAAUAGCAUAGUUUUUCAUUUGAAUUGCAUUGUAAGGACAAUUUUUUUCGCAAUAAAAUGAAUUUUGAUUUUAUCUAAUUUAUUUAUCCUUGCAAUGGCAUGUCUGAAAAAUUGAUGUUUGAAGGUUUCUAUUAUUAGCAAUAAUGGAUUUGAUUCUUAAUUAUGUUAUUUGUGAAGAUGUCAAGAAUUUACCAAAUAGGGAGAGUUUCUCAUCGCCCAAGAUUCAAUUAGACAGAAACUUGGAAUCAUACAACUUGGUUGCGUGAUGAAUGAGAAAUUUCAUAUUUGGAUGUUGGACUAAUUCUUUGACAAAGUGUCAAGUGAAGGACUAGGAGAUCGAGUACACAAGAUUGUACGUUGAUCAAGUCCACCACAAAAUUGAUAAAGAUAUUCGUCAUGAUUUACUAAAGUUUAGUAAAUAUGGUUAUACUUAUAAGAUUGAGUAUAACUCUGAGUUGAUUGAAAGAGUUUCAAUCAAUAGCAUAAUGAAUAAGAAGAAUCUAGUAGGCAGAAAGAUAAAAGUUUAUCUAUUCUAAGAAGAAGGGAGAGUAACUUUUAUCGUGUUUUAUGAUAAGUUUUAAUGAUUAAGAACCAUGUUUCAAUUGAUCCUCUAAGCGAGUCUUAGUGAAAUUGCAUGCCUAAGAAGAGGAAUCGAGAAUUGUAGAAAUGGUUAAAAUCAAGAAGUCAAUCAUACUUCGUUCCAAUAUCAAGUCUUAGAGUCAAGAUUGUGACUUGGGUGAAAAAGUCUUAAGUAGGUUUGUAAUACUUAUCAAAUGUAGAAUAAGAAAGUUUCUUAUUCUUGUACAUUUGAAAUUGGUAAUUUGUAAUGCCUUAGAUAAAACAAAGACCAACGAGGACCAAUUAUGUGAAGUGUUUUGUCUUGAUAAGAACUACACUAACUCUUGAAUAUUUGUUUUGUCUAGGAAAGUUUCCUGACAAGAGAAUCAUAUAUGUCAAGAGGUCAGUGGGAGUUGUAAUGAUCUUGAAAAAAGUUUCAAGAACAAAUCAAGAAUAAACCUUAUCGAUCAUCACUAGCACACGACGUGAGGUUUACAACCUAUCGUGUUGACAUUAUUUUGUUCUUGUUGAUGGGUUUUAGUCAUAAGACAUCCUAUGUGCUCAAACAAACCCUAAUGCUUGGAUCUAGGUCUCUCUAUUGUACAUGCUUUGAAUCCAAGACAAUAAACCCUAAUUCUAGCAUAUGGAAAUCAAUAUUAACAUAUAAAUGGGUUUAAGAACAUACCUUGAUUGUUAUAUAGCAAUAACAAUCCUAAUCCUCCUUGAAUUGACUUUGGAAGGCUUAGAGUCACAAGUGUCACUCCUCUAAUGGCUUACAAACACCAUAAGCAAGUGGAGAAGGUAUAAAGAGAGAGGAGNNNNNNNNNNNNNNNNNNNNNNNNNNNNNNNNNNNNNNNNNNNNNNNNNNNNNNNNNNNNNNNNNNNNNNNNNNNNNNNNNNNNNNNNNNNNNNNNNNNNNNNNNNNNNNNNNNNNNNNNNNNNNNNNNNNNNNNNNNNNNNNNNNNNNNNNNNNNNNNNNNNNNNNNNNNNNNNNNNNNNNNNNNNNNNNNNNNNNNNNNNNNNNNNNNNNNNNNNNNNNNNNNNNNNNNNNNNNNNNNNNNNNNNNNNNNNNNNNNNNNNNNNNNNNNNNNNNNNNNNNNNNNNNNNNNNNNNNUCGAAUUCUAAGGGAUUUACACCUCAAAUUCGUUCACCAUAUAUAUAAGAUAAUCCUUACCUUAUUUUGUAACUAUCACAUAAUUACAAUUCAGCCCCUCUAGUUUAAUUAAUUACACUUGAUCACAAAAUUAAUUCUUAAUUAAUUAUUGACCAAUAUUAAUUAAACAAAUAUGAUUUCUCCUUUAAUAUAUUAUUCUUAUAACAUAUUAAUAAAUCAUAAUAACCUCUCUCUCUUUAUUUAUUUCUCCAAUCAAGUUGCUUUGGUGAAGGCAACCCAAAAGGACCAUGCACCAUCGGGUCAAGUACAUACCAAAAUAGUUAUGGACUUAGACACUAAUCCAACACUUGUGCCAUUCCAAUUGAGUUAAUUAUGCAUGUGAGUUCUAUGAGUUCUCAUUUGAAUACAUAAAGACAAAGCAUCUUGAUCGAUGGAAAGUACAUUGAUAUGUAAGGAUAAGUUGCUAAACUACUUGGAUGACAUGGUGGGCGCUUGUGUUACCAUAAGGCUAGAAAUCAAGAAAGUUCAGUCCAUAUGAGUUUGGAUUUGUCGCAAACUUGGUUUUGGAAAAUUCACAUGGAUAGGAACACAUACACCAUAAAAUCUAUGUGUCAUAAGAUUCCCUCCUUCAUGAAAAUGAAUGCGAGGAAAUGCUUUCACUAAGAGAGAUUUUAAGAAGAUAGCAAUUGUGAAAAUUGUAUUCUCAUAUUCGAUUAUGGUUACGACAUCCCUUUCCAUAGUUCAAAUUGUGAGAUUUGGCAAUUAGUCUAAACGUUUAGGACUUAGUAACAUAAGUUCUGAAUUUGUCUAGACACACAUGUGAGCUUUCUAAGGCAAAGGUGUAUGAGUUUAAGACGCUUAGAUAAUGGCUUAUCAAAGCAUCAAGUAUUAGAAAUAUGAACUUAAGAAAUUCAAUAAGCAUUGUUUUCUGGAAGUUCAGCUGUUUUCUGAAUACAUGUCAAAGCUAGUGGGAGCAUAAAUGUUAUGCUUGUAAGGAAAUAAUCAUUGCAUUAGUGGGAUAAUAAGUGUUAUGCUUGUAUGAUUAUUAUGGCAAGUAUUACAAGUUAGCAAUAUUAAUUAUAGAAAAACAAGAGUUAUACUUUGCAAAGUCGCAAGGGUUGAAAAGUUGUUUUGCUAUAAUUAAGGAAGAGAAUAUUAUACUUCGUUUCAAAAUUUAAAGCUUAGAUUGAGAAAUUUUAAUAAAUAUCGUCAAAGGAUACAUAGUGUGCUCUCAAAUUUCGAUUAUGAUUACGACAUCCCUCUUCAUAGUUCGAAUUGUGAGAACGUGACACAUAAACUAUUAUGGCAUAAGAUUGAUAAAGUAUCAUAUCUUUAUGUAAGACAUUAUGCAUCGUGUCCCAUACGCUUCGGGUAUAGGAUCGAUUGCAAAUGCUAUAAUAUUUGAUCAUUCUAAAAUUUUCCAAUUGUCUAGCGCAUUAAGAGGGAAAAAGGACUAGAAUCGGUUUUGACUAAAAUAAUUAAACAACUAUCAAAGGACGAUACAAAGUUCACUGAGGAUUGGUCGCUUAUGAGUAGUUAGAAGUAUGGUAUUAGAUGGACCAUAUCGACAUUAUUAUGAAUAGAUAAGAUUCUAUUAAGAAGGAGUUGUCAUAUGGUAAAUAUGGAAAUGUUUCCAUACUAGAAGUUGGAUGUUGAGAGUCUAUGUCUAGAUUAGAAACUUUUAUGCAAGAAGGAUGUUCAAAGGAAUGUCAUUUGAAUGUGUGACUUCGCGUCUAUGGAAUUGUCUUGUAACAAUUUCUGAUAGGGUACUUUGUAAUUUCAUUGGCUAAGUCUUGGUGACUUUUGGGCUAUGACUUUGCGAAAGUAUCGUUGCAUAAAAUGUUAGAAUCUAACAUAUCCUAAUAGUGGCAAGAACCUUGUGUUCUUACACUAAUGAUAAGGAUUGGGAAUUGUGAAAUGAGCGUCGUUGGAAAAGUUUUCAAUUGAUGUAUUUCACAAAGUAAGGACCAUAGGAAAGAUAGUGUGCAUGCUUAGGGCAUGGGACAACUAUUGUUGUAAUUUGAGUAAUAAGUUGAUUUUCUGAAAUAGUAAAUGAUGAAUAAUGAGUAAUCAAUAUGGUGUUUAAAUAGAAGUGUUUUAUUUACUCCCACAAGUUUAGGGGCAUAUAGGAUUAAGUAUUAUUGUCGUGUUUUAGUUUGCAUGUUUUGACUUCCAGAAUAACUAGGUUAUUCGAACCUCCAUAGUCGAUCAUACUCUGGAAGUAGGUAUGAAGCAAGACUGUUAUGAAGAGUCUAUAGAUUGUCUGAAGAGUUUAGACAUAGCACAAGUUUGCUGUAGAGUUCGUGAGUGCUUUAAUAAGAUUAUAGUAUUAGAUUAUACCCACGCUCACGUGAAUCACUUCAUGGAUUAUAUCGCGAGUGAUUGUGAGUCGAUAAUAUUGUAUAUUCUUGAAACCAAGACGUGUGAGUUGUUAUUUGUUGGUCGGUUGCACAUUGAUAAUAAGUAAACGCACCAGUAACUUGGUGUUAUAAAACUUAUUGUUGUGUGUGAUUAGAUUAGUGAAUGUAAGCGAGCAUAUGAGUCGAAGUUUAUCUAUUCCUUUUACCCAAAGUAGGAUAAAAGUGAUAUAUGUGGGGCCCCUCGAUGAUUUAGUGACGACACCUAAGUGCUUGGCCAAGCCGGGACUAAGUUGAUGUGUUCAAUUGUAGUCUGUUGUCAGUCGUCAUAAAUCGGAAGUCGGGAAACAGUAUAGAGAGAAUGAUUGAAAUUCAUGUCUUUUGUCUAUACGAUAUCUUGAGAAUGGAGGAAUAUAUAAUCCCUUAUCUAGAGGACACGCUAUCUGAUAAGAUCAGAGUUGACAGCGGCUUUUGAAAGCUACGAUUGCUGAUCAGGUUCUGAAGUCAUACGGAAAAUAGUUAUUAGACUUAUCCAAGUGGGAGACUGUUGGAUUAGUGUCUAAGUCCAUAAUUAUUUUGGUAUGUACUUGACCCCAUUAUGAGCAUGGUCCUUUUGGGUUGCCUUCACCAUAGAAAUAUGUAGGAUGAAUUAAGGAGAGAAAGGCUUAAUUAUGAUUUAUUAAUAUAUUAUAAGAAUAAUAUAUUAAAGGAGAAAUCAUAAUGUUUAAUUAAUAUUAGUCAAGAAUUAAUUAAGAAUUAAUUUUGUGGCUAAAAGAGAUUAAUUAAACUUAAGGGACUUAUUGUGUAAUUAUAAGAUAAUUACAUAGAUGGGCUUAUGGACUCCAUAGAAGGUGGAGUGAACGAAUUCUAUGGGGAAACCCAUUAGAAAUCGUCCAAGGCUUCUAAAGAAGGAGUCCAUGGGCUGCUUAGGGAUUAAGCAGUCAAACUAGGGUUUCCUUGUUAGAUAACCCUAAUUGCCUAAGUAUAUAAGGAGCCCUUAGGCACCAAAAACGUGGCUAACUGAUUCCUUAGGGUUUCUAGACGUUUUUUGGGUGCCUCCUCUCUUCCCCUUCUUCAUCUAGUUGCUUAGUGGUGUUUGUGAAUCCAUUAGAGGUGUAACACUUGAGGCACUAAGCUUUCUAAAGCUAAGGAUUGAUUGUUAUUGCUAUAUAACAAUCUAAGGUCAGAUCUAAACUCUAUUUUAUGUUAAUAUGAUUAAUUGUAUGCUAGAUCUAGGGUUUAUAGCUUCGGAUAUUCAAUUGCAUGUUCAUUAGACAAACUAGAUCCAAAAGCUAUUAGGGUUUGCAUGUACACCAUAGGAUUGAUGUUUUGCUUAAAACCCAUCAGACUUUCCAAUGGAAGGAGCCUUCCUCUUUUUACCCUUACCAUGUCCAAUUGCUAGGACAGUGGCAAUAGCAGUAAGAGUAGGAGUAAUAGCAAUAGAUUUGCCUUUCAUGUUGCUUUCAGCAGUUCUGAGGAGUCCCUAAAGCUUGCUAAGAGUGACCUCCUCCUUUUUCAUAUGAUAGGUCAUACGAAACUGAUCAUAACAAGGAGGCCGGGAAUGAAGAAUAAUAUCAAUAGCUAAUUCUUCAUCAAAGUUGACAUUCAAUUUUAGCAAGCGGUCCACAUAUCUUUGCAUUUUUUGCAAGUGGCCCGUGAUGGACUCUCCAUCCUUCAUUUUAGUGGUGAUCAUGGAGGCUAUGAUCUCAUACCUCUCAUGCCGAGCUGAUUGAUGGUAUCUUUCCAUCAAAUCUUGGUGCAUUUCAUAGGGCCAGAAGUCCUCAUAGGACUUUUGUAGCUUAGCAGACAUGGUAGCUAUCAUUAUACACGACACUUUUUUUGCGUCCCUCUCAUGAACCCGGUACUCCUCAAUUUGCUCAGGAGUAGCAAUUUGCUCAUCAAUCUCCUUCAGCUCCUUGUCAGGGACAUAUUCUUUGUCCUUAUAUCGAAGGGCCAUGCGAAUGUUUCUGAUCCCAUCGUUAAAUUUGGAUCCAUUAAAGAUGGUUCUCCCUACUAAGUUCAUUAGGGAGAAAGAGCCUGAAGGAUUUGAGCCUAAAGCAUUGUUUCGAAUAGACAUCUGUAAAAGAAAAGGAAAAAUGUUUAGAUUAGAUGAGAAUCCUUAAUCUAACACCCAAAUGAGAUAUUAAGGCUAGGAUACAACACAAUAUUCUACAAUUGCGAAGAGGGAUGCCGUAAUCUAAUUGUAAAAUAUUUGAAGGUUGGUAAAUGAAGAUUUACCAAUUUCCACCAUAAAAAACAAAAUAGAUUAUUAAGUUUUAAUUGGAUUUGAAAUUCCUAGAUCUUUGAGAUUCAUUGAACUUUCAAUGACAUGUUUAAAUCUCGAUUUUGUCUUCUCAAGUUUGUGACUGGGAUGCCGAGGAUCACAAACAAGGUGUAAAUAACCAUGCAAAUAUACUUGGUACUCUUAAUGUUAAAAAUCACCUAAUCAAUGUACUAGUUAACCACACACGCUCCAUUGAUCUAUGAUUAACAUUAAGCUACCCUUUGCCACUCUUUAUAAGUCCUAAAUUAGUGUGUCGGUUAACCACACACGCUCCAUUAACGACUUAAUAAAGUGCAAAGUGUAAUUUCAUGGACUAGCACCAUUUCACAUUUUUCCUAAAGUAACUAAGAUUGGGAAUUUAAUAAAAGUUUAGUUACUUUAUAAUUUCAUUAUACUUUUAGCAAGAAUUGAUGUCUUAUCCUACCCGUUCGGCUAACGACCCUCCACCAGUCAGGAAGCGGUGGGUGAGAAUGGACACCCAUUAAACUGUCAUUUUAUAGGCAGUAACCUGAUACCCUCCUUAUACAUCGACUUCGUGAAUGAGGCCUACUAACGGUAAGACUGACUUUAUCUUAUAUAUAUAUCAAGGUUGCAGAAAUCGCUCGACGGUAGCUCGGCGGUGGACUGGGGUCAAGGGAUUAAUCGGGUAGACGGGGAUUAAUCGGGGACCAUUAAUUAUUAAAAAAUUAAUAAAUAAAACAUUAAUCCUAAGAAUAUAACAUUAUAUCUAUUAAAAAGUUACUAAAAAUUAAUAAAUAUACCAUUAUAACAUGAUACUAUGAUUACAAAAUCCCUUUUGAUCCCUAAUACAUCAUUUCUAAAUAACCAACAAUUGCAUAUGGAUCCAAGUCUGCAUAAAAUGGGAAGAAAAAAGUGUUAUGAACAAUGGGUUCCAAUAGCAUCGGGAAGAGAUGUGGACCUGCAACAUGUUGUCUACUGCAUUUGGAACUUUGUGAAUGUUAAGGGAAUUAAAUAGCAGGAGGCUGUGGAUAUGUGGGAAUUCCAUGAUUAAUGAUUCGAUCCUGAUUAUUGCUAUAUAACAUACAAGAAGCGGCGACUGUUGUUGAAGCUUCAGAAGGCGAAGACUGGUUUAGCUUCGAGGAUGACGAUUGACGGACUGUGAUGAUGUGAAUGGAAGAAAAAGACGGUGUCAGAGGAGGGACAGAUGGUAUCGAAGAAGAAUAUGGCAUCGUUUUAGAAGCAUCAGUUCAUGCUUUCUUUCGUUCCUUCAGACUACAGAAAGAAUUUCAAAAAGGAAAAGAAAUGAAUGCGAUGUAGUGAGAAGAACCCUAACAGCAAAUCUAACAAUUUGAAACUUUUUCCCUUAAAGGUUUUUUUACCGAUUAGGGCUCCUAGGCCCGCCUACACCCGAUAAUCUCCGUCUUUGACCGAUUUUGACCACGUCCGAUAAUAGGGUCCGAUUAGCUAUAAACGUCGACGGUGGAGGACUGCCAAGCGCCUAGGCGCCGAUUAAUCGGCCACCUAGGCCGAUAUUUGCAACACUGAUAUAUAUAUAUAUAUAUAUAUAUAUAUAUAUAUAUAUANAUAUAUAUAUAUAUAUAUAUAUAUAUAUAUAUUUAUAUCAACAUUUAAUAUUAUAAUAGUAUAAGGGCAGAAUUUUAAUCUUUUUAAAACUCUAGGGUUUUGGAAUUAAAUGUCUUAUUAAUGUGACUUUACAAAUUCUAAAACUUGAGGGCAAGUUUUGAAACUUUUCAAGACCUUUCAUAUUUAUAACCUAUGAACCAUUAUGAGUUUUAAUACCAUGAAUGUGACUUUUCAUAUAACUUGAGGACAAGUUACAAUAACACAUUACAUUAACAAUCAGAUCAAAUUUUGGGAUCAAACAUAAUUAUCACAUAAUUAUUUUUCCUAUUGAUCUAAACAAACUCAUAACAAGACAAUUCAUAUCAAAUAAUACAUAUAAUUAGUUUAUUAUCUAAACAUUUGACAAUUGCCUUUUAAAUGGAUGAAGACUAUCAUUACCAAUUCAAAAAAUAUAAUUUUUAUGAUUACAAAGUUGUUUGUGGUAACGACUCUAUCCAUUUCUAGCCAAGAACUCGAAGUUUCUGCACACGGGAGCACCGACUCGUCAAGUACAUGAACUGGACUCGCCGAUUUGAUGUCUUAUUGAGUGGACUCGUUGAGUCUGUUCAUGGACUUGGCGUGUUCAUCUAUCAGAAUGCAGAAAAGUCAAUUUUUCAACAUUAAAAACUAGUGUGCAUCAACUAUAAAAGAAAGUAAUCCUAGGCUCUGAUACCACUGUUGAGUUUUCAGCACUAUAACACUCCUAUGGUGCACAUGCAACCCUAGAUUCUUUGGAACUAUGUUUUCUCUAAUUAUACAUGCAAUUUUCAAAUUUCCAAAGCAUAUAACUUAACUAGCAUACAAUUGAAUAUAACAACUAGUUAGAUAGCUUACCUCUUGUGUAGUUCUUGGCCUUUGGAAGCUUGAGCACCUCAAAUGUAAUGUCUCUAAUGUGUCACAAACACCAAAUGCAAAAGAGGCUUUUAGAGAAUAGGUUUAGCUAGUAUAAUAUCGACUCUCACACACAUGUAGAGAGGGGGUUCUGAUUUUGACACAAGGGGGUUCAAUAUAUAGUGUUACAAACUCUAGGGUUUCAUCCAUGUAACCUUAAUGCACCAUGACCUUCCAUAUCCUUAAGGCUCCAUAGGUUAAAGCUCCAUGGACUAUCCAUGAACCACUUAGCUCACCCUAAUAGAUUUUUGGCUCACACUAUAAGAAUGAUUGAUUUACAUAAUCAACCCCUUUGAUUUAAUUAGUCUCUUUUGAUCACAAAAUUAAUUCCAAAUUAAUUCUUGAUCAAUACUAAUUAUGAUUUCCCAAUUAUUAUAUUAUACUUAUAAUAUAUUAAUAAAUCAUCAAAAAACCUUAUUCUCAAAAGGUCCAUCCUAUCAAAUUGCACUGAUGAAGGCAACCGAAAAGGACCAUGCUACAAUUGGGUCGAGUACAUACUAGAUAUAGUUAUGGGCUUAGACACCAAAUCCAACAGUUUCAUUGCGGUGGACCAUUACGAAAUUUGGCUAUUUCCAAAACAAAUUUUACCAGUCGAGUGUUUACAACGUUCUUCAAAUUUAUUACAUAUAUGCAAGGUUCUAAAAAACUUGCUGUAAUGGCGUACCAUGGUUCCAAGGCUAGUACUUGCCACUAAACUUUGAAAAAUUGCCGCCUUAAGUCAUAUAUGUAUAUAAAAAUGAAAAUAGUUGAAAAUACAUAUAAAAUUAUUAAUUAUAUACAAAACUGCAGCCUUAAGUCACGCCUUACAAACGAUGUGGCUCGCCAAGGCUCGUAAAAACUUGAGGUCUAACAUUGUCGUCAAGUCACACCUUAUGUUAUUUAGAAGGGAAUAUGACUUAUUAAGGUAAUUAACUUCUCGGUUUGUUUAUAUAUGGGUAACUAUUUUUUUAUACAUCUAUCUAACGAACAUUUUGGCAGUGUUCACAUAUGACCAUUAUGAUUGGUUGUACAACCAGGUUACAUCCAAUCGUAAUAGUCAUAUGUGACCACUUCCAAAAAGUUUGUUACCUAGAUAUAUAAAAAAAAAAUAGUUACCCACAUGUGAACAAAUCGAAAAGUUAAUUUUUUUAUUUUUUAUUUUACUUUGUAAUUUUGAUUUGGUAUAAAAUAUAACCUAAAUGGUAAAUAUUUUAAAACCAUACCAUUUUGGCAAAUAUCAUUUUAAAAUACAUUACUUUGGUAAAAAAAAAAUAGAUUUGACAUGGAAAAAAAAAAACACAUCGUCGUAUUAUAACAUUUUAUUGUUUAAAAUAUUAAAUAUAGAAUUUUAAAUUGACUAGAGAAUAAAAGUAUCCGAAAUGAAGACCAAUAAUAUGAAGAAGAGCAUCAAAAUCCACAACUAAAUCAAUUGAUUUUGGUUCUCUUAAAGUAUGAAGAAUCAAAUCCAGAAUGUUGUUGGUUCUCUUAUGAUGUAAUUUGAUUCUCAUGAGUUGAAAAUAAUCGACAAAUUGUUGCCACAAAAGGGGGUAAGACAAUCUUUCUAAUGCUAGAUUUUUAUUCGAUUUAGAGAAAUCCAUAGAGAUCGCACCGUUUGAUGAGUUAAAGCUUAGAAUGUUGUUAAUAGAAUGUUGUAGUGUCGGUGCAUCGGAGUUGAAUGACUGAAAAAAGAAGGGAUGGUGAAUAUGUCGAUGUCACUGAAGAUGGAGAUGAAAUAGAAGUUGAGGAGGAUGAGAGAUGAGAUGGUGACUAGUGGGAUCCAGAUUAAAAUUUUCAAAUAUGGUAUUAGGUUUAGGGUGAGAAGAUAAAGAUAUACGGAGUCUAUUAACUUUUUUUAAAUAUUUAAAAAAUAAAUACAUAUAUAAAAAAAGUUAAUUAAAAAUUAAAAAAUAAACUAAUAAGGGCACAAUAGUCAAGACCAAACACGCAACAAAAAUAAACAAUAUAGACCAUCCAAGUUUUAAAAAAAAAAAGUUAGGGAUCAAACGCGUAAAUUACACGAAACUAUCGGGACCAUUCGUGUAGUUUAACUAUUUUUUAUACAUGUAGAUUAUGAACUUUUUAUAAAUUUAUAAAUGUUCACGUAUAUAAUCAUUACGAGCGGACGCAACUGAUUUCAUCCGGUCAUAACAGUAUAAACACUUAAGAUUCAAAAAAAUUCUCUUAGAUGUUAAUAAAAAAAAUAGUUAACUUGCAAGAUUAAGGCAUAUUCCCUGUUUAGAACCUUGCAAGAUUAAGUCAUAUUCCCUAUUUAUUAUAUUCUUAGAUAUUAAAAAACAGUAAAGUUAAUUAAGUCAUAUUCCCUAUUUAGAACCUUGCAAGAUUUGUGAAGAACUGUUCAUAAUUUUUUUUUAUCGAAAUUUUGUAGAUUUAUACAUCUUUAACUGAUUGAAUAUGUCCAAAACUGGUAAAAUGAAAUGCAAAAUCCUAGAUCCAAGAUUAUGUUAUCCCAUUCAAAAAAGUAAAGAAGAUGUCGACAAAGAAGAGAUUUACAUACAUAAGACGGUCAUCAUUAACGUUAAAUAUUCAGAUUACAUGGCGACAUAAUAAUAAUAAUAUGCAGAUCCACAAGCAGCACCCUUAUUAACAACAACAACAACAACAACAAAAAAAAAAAAAAAAAAAAAAAAAAAAAAAAAAAAAAAAAAAAAGUACAUCGACUACAUGCUAUGAAUACAUAAAAUUACAUAGCAACCAUAUCACAACACAGUGUUAGUAGAUCUGCAACCACGUUAGGAUAUUUUCAGUGAUGGUGGACAUGUGGGUGUGGCUUCUGUGGUGGUGGAGGGUGGUGAACCACAGGUGGAGGAGGAUGGUGAACGACUGGUGGUGGCGGGUGGUGGACAACUGGGGGAGGUGGGUGGUGGACGACCGGUGGAGGUGGAUGGUGAACCACUGGAGGUGAUGGUUGAUGAUGGUGGGGAGGUGAUCUUGGCAUCUUGAUCUUUUUGUCUUUUUUGAAUUAAAAGGUUUCGAAUUUGUGAAUUGUGAAUUUGUGCUGGUGAUAGUUGGGUUAGAGAGAGACGGUGAGUUUAUAAUGGAUAAAAGUCAAACUUAAAGUCUAAGAAACGUGUAGAUGUGGAUGUGGCAGUGUUAGGUACGUACCUUAGCCAUGAAUUGAAAAUAAUGUCCAAAUUCAUUUCAACCCAUAACUUUUUUAUAAUUUGUACCUUUUUAGAUGACAUCUAAAUAACAUAAUAUAUAAUAUACUUUUGAAUGUCGACAUAAAAAAUAUCUAGUCUGCAGAAUAUUUC
rnacentral:lncRNA from 1 species